rnacentral:lncRNA from 1 species
GAGAGAAAUAAAUAAAGCAAUUAAAAGAGCUGCAAUCAUCAAGCAAAUUUGACACUUGAUGCAUCCAAAACAUCUUCUCCUUUGUCAUAAAUCUGCAACCAUAUCCUACAUACAAGUUCGGUAUCCUACUUCCGAGACAAACAUCAAAAAUUCAAUCCGCUAUCAAAUUUUCCUUCACUUAGUCAGCAAUCGUCUUCUGUUUAAAAAUAAUGAACGAUUCAAAAUUAAGUUCCACCUCAAAUACGAGACCAGUGGUGUAAGGACAACACUGAAUGAAACGAGAGGAGUGAUUAGUAUCUCAAACUAUGCACAAAACGGAUGAAGUUAGUGCUGCUGCAAGAACAGAUCUUGUGGCUUUCAUUUGCUUGACUGGGAACUUCUCUUCAGCUUGCUUUUGCCACAUAUAGUUUGCAGCUUCAAUCCACUGUUUAUUAACUAAAAACUUCUUUUCUUUGACCGCCCAUUUAGACUUCUCCGUGCCAGCAUCUCCUGAAACCGCAUGUGUCACCAAUGGGUCCACUUGUGUCGAACAAGAGGCUCCCAACUGCUCUGCCAUCUUAUAGAGAGGUUGAUUCUCAGCAUCGACAUUCGAAGGAAAUUCGUGGCUGAAAACAAUUUUACACCCCUUUAACACAUCCUUCUUAACAGUUUUCAACACCUACAAAAAUAGCAUCCAGAAGAAUCCAUAUUAAAUAUAUGAAGCUAAAGGAAGUAGUCAUGUUUUAGUGGUUCUGAAAAAAACUUGUUCACCUGUCUCACAUCUCUUUCAACAAGAUUAUCCUCCAAUUCCUUCAAGAUGGCCACCAACAAUAGAUUAGCACACAAAGAAAGUGUAACUUUUUGCCAUCAUGGAGACAUAAAGUGGUACUUACACAUGGUUCAUCCUAAUGCUAUAUAAGUUAGGAUACUGAUUUGUUUCCUCAUUUCUUCAUUGGUGAUUCGUAUUUUCGAUGAUUUUAAGAAUGGGUAAUAAGUUUUUGUUAAGAGUUAAUGUGUUCAGUUUCAUUUUUUUUAGUUUCUGUUCUAUAAGGUUUUGUGUCUUGUGAUUGGAGUGUCAUGUGGUUAGAGGUUCUAAAAGACAAACAUGACUUUUUUUAUUUGGUCAGAGGAGGGGGGAGCAAGUUCUGUUCAAAAUUUGGGUUUUCCGAUGGCUUGAAAGAUAUUAUAUCACUAUUGCUAUUACAAGUGUCCAGUUUGCAGAAAUGACAAGGCAUGCUACAAUCUAUGCUUCUUUGGUAGAUUUGAUUCAAAUUGGUAGAUUUCUGUAAGAAAUAAACUUUUAUCUUUUCUUUUAGUUAAAGACAGUUAGGACAUCAAUUUGUAAAAGAUAUGAAUAUUAACAAUGGUGAUGGAACCCCCAAUCCAUAUAGUUGUAAAUAGAUUUCCACAUAUAUGUAAAUAGUAUUGCAUAUCGUGUCUAUUUAUAACUUUCUACAUAUUUUAUAUAGUUUUAAAGCCGUAGCAUCGCGCGGGCACCGUUGCUAGUUAUCUAUACUAAAGCUCAAUAAAAUAAAAACACUGUUCUUAAGUACAGUGAAAGGACAGAAAAGCCCCUGUUUCACUAUUAUUUUUCAGUGUUAUUUUUUUUAUGCAUAGUGAAAUGGCCAAAAUGGCCCUGCCCCUUCAAUUUGUCGACCCACCGUUUCUCUAGAUACUUCCCAGUUCCCACAUUGUUUUUCCCACCGUGCUGCUUGCCUCUACUCUCCCCUUCUUCCUCGUCUCCUCAUCUGCUAAAUUCUCUUCGAUUCUACCAACCGCCGCAACCGUUCAGACUUUCCCAAAGGUAAAUUCUUUUCUCUUCCUUACACAAUUUGAUUUUGAUUUUGAAAAUAGUGAAACCCCCAUAAAACAAACUGACUUUCUCAACCGAAGAUUAUGAUAUAUGUUUCUAAGCGGUUUGCCUUCAGAAGAUUUUCAGAGAAUAGCUUCAAUUGAGUUAGGUUUUGAUCAAUUUAAUCUCAUUAGUUUCAUUCCAAUUCAAUGAUUUUGUGUAACGCUGAGUUUUCUGUUGGAGAAUAAAUUUUCUUCAUAGUUCAUUCAAUUUUGUUUUAUUUUCUGAUUUGGAUUUUGAAAUUGAGACUCCUAGUUUUGCCCUCAUCAAGAAAAUUUUAUUGAUUCCAAUUGAUAAAUGUUACCAGGAUGGGAAGGGGAUCACCAAUUUGAAUUCAGCUCUUCAGGUAUGCAUUCAUUCCAGAUUUAAAACAUCACUUCCGUUUAGUAUGUUGUUUAUCAUUUUUUUAUCACAGCACCGUCAUGCGGUGUUACUGUCCGUCCUUUUAGUUGUUAAAAUCUGUUUGUUUGAGUUGUACAUAGAACUCUUAACGUAGAAUUAGUAAAAUGCAGGUGCAGAAUGAACGACUAAUCAAUGUGGGAAAAUGUAUAUAAUUGUAACUUAGAAAUCUCCCAUUUUGAUUGCACAUAUGCUCUUGAUGUAAAGUAAAUAAAAUGUAAUGUAACUUAAAGAUUGAUUUUACCAUGUUGGUUUAGCUGUUCUGUUAAUUUUUGAAAUAUUUAGAAAUGAAUGGGUUGAUUUAUGAUUUUAUGGAAUUUUCAAAAGUAUUUAUUAUGUGUAUAGUGAUAUAUGUGUUUGUGAAUGCAGUUAAGUUGUUGGUAGCUUUUGAGUAUCAGUUGAUAUUUUGUACAGUUUUUCAAAUUUUCUCUCUUUUUUUUGGGAAAUGAUUCAUAUUUACUAUAAACUAUGAAUUUAAAACCCGCAGAGGAGCGCGGCACUUUUGCUAGUUUUGACCUAGAAGCAAAUGGAAACGGGCCAACUACUUAGUUGAUAACACUGAAUUUGAUCAAGUAGAAAUGUUAUACAAAGCAAACUUAUAGAGCCCCAUUAUUGUAAUACAACAUAACAAAUGCUGAAGCACCAGAAAUCAUAAAAAACAUGACGUUGGCCUUGAAGGCCCAAACAUUUCUCUAGCCGGUAGACACAUCAAGCUAAGUUCGGCGUCCCCUCGUCGCCCGUGCAGUUGUUGACUUCCUCCUCCUCCUGAAUGUCUCCACAAACCAUUCAUCCUUCUUGUCUGCCAACAUGUUUCCAGCAACCACUCCCACUACUAGUCCGCUAACAACUCCCGGCAAAACUACGUACCAAUCAAACUCAAAUGUAAAUCCAGCCUCUUCAUCUUCUUCAAAACUUGAUGGUGGCGGCAGCCUCAAGCUUUUAGAACCCUCGCAUUUCUUGGACAAAGGCUUUCCACACAGACCUGAGUUUCCUUGGUAUGAAUCUUCUAGGAAUGUACCAAAUUGUUGGCCAAGUGGUAUUGGCCCCCAAAGGUGGUUAUGCGACACGUUGAAAUACUCAAGGAAAGUGAGUUGUGCCAAGCUAUCGGGGAUCCUUCCUGAGAGCUUGUUUUGAGAGAGAUCCAACGAUUCAAGAGCAGUCAAGUUCCCUAGAGAUGAAGGGAUGUGACCAGAGAGAGCGUUGUUGGAGAGGUUUAGCAAAUGAAGUUCUCUUAGACUCCCAAUGAUACUUGCUAGAAUCUCUCAUUCAAAUCUAUUAUUUGAGAAAUCUAUAAGUCUCAGAUCAUAGGGGGUCCGAUAAUAUGUCAACUUAACACCUUUUACUGGAAUUAUCAUAUUGUUUGAAACUACAAUGUAAUCUCCAUAUUUACUUGUGCUCCUGUUCGAUGAGAUUCUAAAGUAGAGGUAUCCCUUGUUUGCGACAACAUAUUUCAUGAAACUCCAGUUCUCCAUGUACUUAGAAGGCAACAUACCUGAAAACAGAUUGUUGGACAAAUCAAUGAUGCACAAGUUUGGGAACUCAUGAUUUGUUGGAGGCUUCCCAAUUAUCCCAUGAAAUGCAUUCGACCCCAAAAUGAGACCCCUCAAUACUGGAAGUACCCCUAACCAAGAAGGGAAGAUGUCACUGAUCUGAUUGUUGCCAAUGUUAAGAAACUCUAACCGAGUGCAAUCGGCCAUUGAUCUUGGUAGUUUCCCCUGUAACCGAUUGUAACCCAACAAAACCAAUUUCAAACUAUUUUUGUUAGCACAAAAUGGAGGAAUAUCGCCGUGGAAAGAAUUAAACAUCAAGAUCAAUAUUUCCAAGGUACUGGACUUCCCCAAACACCGUGGAAGCAUGCCAAUCAAGCUGUUGUUGGCCAAAUCAAGAACUUGAAGAUAAUUCAAGUUGCAGAACAAUGGUGAAACUUCUCCACUAUAAUUAUUGUUGCUGACAAAGUAAGACAUGAUAGAUUGUGGUGGAAUUGGCAAUGACCCUCGUAACCGAUUAGUAUCAAGACUAAAAACCUGCAGAUUUUUCCAUGGAAGAGUGACUGGAUUUUCCUCAAAGCCUGUUAAGAAGUUCGAAGAGAGGUCGAGAUUGACCAGAGUUUCUCUAGUUGCAUUCCAGAGCCAUUUUGGUAUUUGGCCAUGAAUGUUGUUACCAGAAAGGCCUAGGGCUCCCAAUUCGUAUUGAUUUUUCAAAAAUUCUGGAAACUCUGUCAAGUUGCAUUCAGCCAACUCUAGAUAUUCGAACUUUGGAAGAGUAGCACUCGAACCAGAUUUGACACGCACGGAUAACUUGUUGUACCCUAAACCAAGUGCCUUCAACUUUUUGAGGUUGGAAAACUCAUCAAACUCAACUAAUCCACUCAAAUUAUUAUUGGAAAGGCCAAGACGUUCAAGAUUUCUGAGGUGGAAAAGCGACUUAGGAAUUGCUCCUUGCAAAUCGUUGCGGGUGAGCCGUAGAAAAGUUAAUUGGGUCAACUCUAAUGCGAGCCAAGAUGGGAUUUCACCAGUUAUUGAAUUAUCAGACAAGUCUAGAGACGCAAGUUGGGUCAGGUUAGCCACAAAACGUGGGAAAUUCCCCUGUAAGUUAAUAUUCGAAAGAACCAAGUAGUUGAGCUUGGUUAAUUUUCCAAAACAAGACAAGGAAUCAGGAACUAAGAAUUGGCCUGCGGAAACGUCAUGAAAUGAAGCCAUCUCAAGGAAACUGAGCUGGGUAAGGUUUCCAAAUGAAGAUGGAACAUGGGAAUCAAAACCACAAUUUGAGAUAUCAAAGUAAUUUAAGGAAUGAAGGUUUCCGAUAGAACUAGGAAGUUCACCAGAGAUAUUUGUCUUUGAAACAUCUAAUGUUUUGAAGGAAUUGGUCCUGUUAAAAGUAGGAAAAUAACCAUUUAGGUAUGUGUUCGAGUACAAUCUAAGCUCCUCUAGGUUUGGUAGAUGGAAAAUGCCUACUGGGAAUUCCCCAUACAACCCACAAGAGCUUAGAUUGAGAGAUGUGAGAGAAGAUGCGUUGACCAAGAUAUCAGGCACAGUGGAGUAUAUGCCUACAUAUCUAAGAUGAAGUUGUUUUAUGCUGGUCAAGUUUUGGACUAGGAUUCUCAUGAUGGACUUCCUAAGCUCCAAACCAUUAUUGUAAGACAGAACAAGGGUAGACAGUUUGGAUAGCCUUGAAAUUUCAGAUGGAAUUUGGCCAGAAAAUGUAGACCUUGAAAGGUUGAGAUAGGAUAGACUCAAAAGGUCAUGGCCCAAUCUCGAUGGUAUUUUAGAGGAAUUGAAGUUGUUAUCUGAGAGGUCAAGCUUCUGCAAGUGAACAAGUCGGAAGAGGGUGCUGUUGGAAGUGAUAGAACCAUAGAGACAGCUGCUCUUGAGGUCAAGGCCAAUGACACGGCCAGACUCCGCAUGGCACUCAACACCAUCCCACGAACAACAGUUACUCUGAUUUUGAUCUCCUUCUCGAGCCCAAGAUGCAACCUUCGGAUAAGCAAAAGGAGAUCCCGAAGCUGACUUGUCUAUCGUAAAGCUUUCCUUGAAUUGUAACAAGAAGGAAUGCUCGUCAACGUGGCAAAAUGUCCAUGUCUGAGUCUGCACAAAUGAAAAAUAGUGAGUAGCAUUGAGUAAUAGCAAAAGAAGACAAUGCAAACAGGUAAACUUGGACAACAAAGAAUCCAUUUUCAUGGCAGUGUGUUUUUCUGGUUAUAUGAAAUAUUGUUUUAUGGCUCUAAGAUAAUUAAGAGUGGAGAAGUUAACUCCUUUUAUAGACACAACUCAUGCAAAGCAUAAAUAAAUAAAUAAAGUAUGAGUCGAUCGAUGAAUGGGUGGUGAAUUGAUGUCUCGAUCAAUUGAAGACUUGGAAGUCAAUCAUCGUUUGCAUGUAAUAAUUGCAAACUCGAUUGUUUAGUUUUAUCUGUACGCUCGUUUGAUCUUAAAGAAUGUGAACGUAGUACUUUAAGCAGAUAAAAUCAGGUGAUCGCUAUCACUUGAAGACUUGAAGUCAAGUCGUCGUUUGCAUAAGUGACUCAUAGCAACGCUUAUUUAUCUUUUUAAUACAGGUUCUAAUUAUGUGUAUAUAUACUCCUUAACUCAAUUUAUUUAUCGUUACACUUAUUUAUCUCAUGUUAAUUACUUGAGUUGAAGUUCGUCCAUGUAGUAGGAUUUACUAUGUAUACACACAAUUUAUUCAUAGUACGUGAAUAUUAAUUAAUUUAGUCUUUAAUUUAAGGUUAGUGUUUUAUUUUCUCGUGCUUUGCACACAUAACAAACAAUUAGUUGUCACUCUUACUAAUAAAAAUGUCACCGAGGCUACUAUCUCUUUCACAAACAGAGUAGCUUUUGUUCCACUAAUCAUGGGCAUGGGGUCUCGUGAACCAGAUUAUAAGCCACUGAUCAUCAACAUAAUUUAAGGUUAGAUAUGAACAUUUCGGUACACUUAUAUUUUUUUCAUAUUUUCUUAUUUACCACUAAUUCAUUACAAUAUAUUUAGGUAUGAACAUUUCGAUAUACUAGGUUAGUAUAAUAUAUUUAGAUACGGACAUUUCGGUACACUAGUUUAGUAUAAUAUAUUUAGGUACCAACAUUUCGGUACUCUAGUUUAGCAUCAUAUAUUUAGGUAUGAAAUUUUUUUGGUACACUUAUGUUUUUGCAUAUUUUCUUAUGUGCCACUAAUUCACUACAAUAUAUUUAUGUACGGACAUUUCGGUACACUAAUUUUGUAAAAUAUAUUAUGAUACGAACGUUUAGGUACACUAAUUAGAUGAAGUAAAAUAAAAUUAAUGAAUUAAAAUAUGUAUAAUAAUAAAUUUCAAUUUUAAUGUAAUGUAAUGACAUUAAAUAAGAUAUCUAUUAAAUAUUAAAAAAAAUGUAAUAUGAAUUUGAAUUAAGUACACGUUAGAGGACUAAAAUCAAUAUCCAAUCUAACACCAGGUUUUUAUUGAAUUUUAAUCUUCUUCAAGGAUUAAAGUUCAAAAACCCCUUAAUUUUAAUGUCGUAAGAUUAUUGAGUACUAUGCGGUAGUACCAAUUUUGUCUGAAGUAAUGAAUCAUCAUUUUAUAGACUUGAUCUACCUUUUCGCGAGAGUUGUGAGACUUCUCUGAAUGAUCAUAUUCAUUCAUGGAAUAACACAUCAUUUAUAGAAGGGUAUAACCUCUAUCAGUGGUGGAUCCAUGAUUUUAGUGUCAAGUUGUCCCAAUUUUAAAGCUCCAAAAAAGAAGACCAAAAUAACAUUGAAAAAAUAAAUGACAAAAUCAAUGCCAUUUAUUCGUCUACUAAAAUAAAAAUAAGUACAACUACAUAAUAUAUAACUCAUGUAGUUAAUGUGAGACUAUCAAGACUCUUGUCAUUAAUACAUAGAUAAACACUGUGUUGAUCACUUGAGUAACAAGUUCUCACAACAUGAACUAAUAAAUAAAUCAUGCACUCCAAAAAAACACUUGCAUAACUAAAUCCUAAUUAGGGUUUUGGGAUCAAAGAGAACAAUGGAAGACGUUCGCAAACCUAAAGGUUAAAAGUUAUUAAAUUUGGAGAUAUUUUAACUAUUCAUAUACAUAAAACAAAUAAACAGUUCAUUAUGAAUAUGCUACUUGUUACUAAAAAUGUUGAUUGCCUUGACAUGAAUGAAUGAAUGACUAAAAGGUCUAUGAAUUGAAGGAUUUUUGCAUAUACGAUUAUGAUAAAGAGAAUAAACAGUUUCGAUAUGAUAUUCGUACAGUGAAGAUACAUUAAUCGUAAGUGAGGGGACAAGCAUUGUCCAAAAAAGUGUGUGAUAAUACUUGUACUCCUUGGGAGAUGAGCUCAUUCUUCCACUUACAAAUAAAGUAUCUUGACAGUAGAAAUUUCAUAAUCAAAACCGUUCAAUUUCUUAAUCUUCAUUUGAAAAUCAUCCCUGUAAAUAUCAGUCGAAUUAGAUAUUGUUUAAUCAUCUAAAUGUAACAAAUAAAUCAACAGUUUUUAUUGUUUAAUCAUCUAAAUGUAACAAAUAAAUCAACAGUUUAUCAUAAAUAUGUUAGGUGGUACUUACACUGUUAAUUUGUUUGAUACAUUUAGAUCUAAACGACCUCUGAUUCAAAUGAUUUUCUUGUGGAGAUGAUUUUAAGAUAAAGAUUAAAAACUUGAAAUGUUCCAUUUAUAAAAUUUAUACUGUAAAGAUUCAUUAUUUGUAAGUGGAGAAAUAAGCUGAUUCCAAAAAGCGAACACAAGUAUUAUUCUUCACAAAACAUACGCAAAAAAAAAUUAUGGGAAUGAGUGAUGAGUAAUUGAGUGGUGACAAAAAAGUAAUGAAAAAGAAAACCAAACAAGGAGACGAUGAAGUCAAUAUAAUGCCGAUCUCGAUCACUCGAAGACUUGGAAGUCAUAUGAGUCGUUUGCAGGUAAGCAUCUCUAGCUAACCUACAAGUAUACCAUUAAUGUUGUUGCUACUUAUUGGCAUUGGGUAUCAGGCAAUUGUCUCAGUUGAAGUCAAACUAUUAAGGCCAAAUUUGCCUUGUCCCACAUGAUAAGGCAUCGCUAAUUAGUAAUUACCACUCAUGUUCUUGUGAUGAUAAAUACUAAAAGUGACAUUAAGAAAAAAAUAGAAAUUGCAUUUAUAAUUCAGUAAUACAAAAGACCAAGGGUUACAUCAAUAGCAUCUUAAACAUCUAGAGUUCCUCCGGCCAUAGUAUCAAAAGUGUUGCGGACAAGGAUUGUCUGCCCUCCUUGUUCCCGUGCCCUCCCAUGCCCUUUUAUUUGUGUGGUUACGGUUAAGCUACUUCAACAUUUUAUAUUACUAUUCAUUUUUGUCUUAUUAUCUAUAUAUAAAAAAACAAUAUAAAAUGUUGACGUGACUUAAUCGUGACCACACAAAACAGGAGGGCAUACAAUCCUUGUCCAAGGGUUGCAUCAAUAGCAUUGAAACCCGAAAUUACGUACUUCUUUGAUGAACAACAACUACUCAUCCCAUCUUCUUCUUGCGUCCAAGAUGUAACUUUUGGAUUGAAGAAAGUUAAUGUUCCACCAUAUGAUAAAGGGAACUUUAACGAAAAGUUCCCGGUACUGUUCACUUUAACGAAAAACCACAUUUUUACAUUAAAAAGUCAAUCAUGAUACUAUUCACUUUACAUUUUAUUUUGUCCUUACCGUUAAAACUCAAAGUUUUCAAGUCAUUUUCAUUAGUUUUCUCUAUGAUAAAACUAAUUGAAUAGAUAUAAUGACGCGUGUGUAGUAGGAGAGAUAACUGUGUGGUUAUUAUUUCCCAAAAGGGUUGGGGAAUAAUUAUUCACGAAAUUCGAGCCUAAAAUCUCUUAUUUACAAUAAAAAAAAGUAAUAUCACUAAACCAAAAUACUAAAUAACUUCAUUUCUCAAAAUUAAAAACUAAAAAUUUAGGUUAUCAAAUGAACUCUUAUUUUUUCAAAUUAUGAUGUAUGUUUUUGUUUUUAUUUAUUUUUAAUGUCCGAAUUAAAUAUGCUUAGGAUCUCACAUAAUUAAAGGUGGAGAAAUCGACGUCCCUUUUUUGUAGACGGUAUAUACAAAGUUGUUUCUUUCAAUGAGCUUGGGGAGCUAUGGACUACAAAAAAUAGUGAUCAUAAUUCUAAACAUACAAGUCAAGAAGGUGGAGAAAUGGGCGCUGAUAAGGGGAACAUAAUAAUUUGCUCAGACCGUCACUUGAAGACUUGAAGUCAAGUCAUCGUUUGAUAAGAUCAGCCCAUCGCCAUCACUUGAAGACAUGAAGACUUGUUCGACAAAAAAAGAAAAAAAAGAAAUCUUGAAGACUUGGAGUCAAUUCAUCGUUUGCAUGUAAUAAGUAUUAUGUUCACCUUUGAACAAAAGAAAAAAAAACCCAUCUCACUGUAAGAUGGAAAAUUUCUGUACUCAUAUCUAAAGUCAAAAUCUUAACAUAUACAAGUAAAAAUUUCACCGGUGUUCUAAGCUAGUUACAAAUACCAUACCAUUAUUCAUCCGACCCCCUUAAUUAUAUACUAAUCAGAAGGGGCUUAUGGGUGUUUCGAUCACCAAGGCACGUAACCUACAGAAAUAAAAGGAAAUGCAAUUAUGAUGAGGAGAGCUGCUUUUCAGCAGAAAGAAGUAAAGGAAGAAGCAAAAGAAGGCGGCUGUGGAGAUAGUCUUUAGGGCAAGUGAAACAUUCUAUAUAUCAUUGUCCAAGCACGAUUUGAGAGUGAAUCCGUCAUUAAUUACUCUUGUUACUGUUCUUCAAUAGGCUCUUUCAUGUUUCCACUCAAUUUUCAUUACGAACAUGUAUUAUGUCAAGUUGAGUCCUCUCCGAACCGCAGGAGAUAGUUGCCCAUCAUGCAAAGUGACUUUUUGUUCUCACCAAUCUGUUCAUUUUCUUUCCACCAUUACUAGUCAUCCCCUAGCAAAGUUGUCUCCAAAAGGGAAGGAUUUGAUCAUGAUAUGAGAGAUAGAGAUGGAAAAGUACAUGAUUUUAUAGGCUAGGGUUUAAUAUUUUUAUUUUUCUUUAAUCAUCAAGAAAAAAAAGGUCAUUGGAUCAUCAUGGUUUAACUUGUUUUCUUUGAUACAUUCGAUAUUUUCAUGAAAAUAUCCAAAAAAUCAUAUAAAGUUAUGGAGAUGGGGGGUGAAGUCUAAACUUCACUUUAUAUCAGAGAAACUCUUAAGUUUAGAAUAAAAUCGACAUAUAUCGUCGAUAUUUUGUAUACACUUGUUAAAUAUCGAAAAAAAAAUCUCAUAUUUUGUCCAAAUCAAUGUUUAAGAAUUCCCAAUGUUUCAUUUUAAAUUUUCAUUAUUUCCAUAGAAAGCAACCGAUAUUCAAUAUGUCCGUCGAUAUUUCCACAAAUUUGCUUAUUGAUAUUUCCACGGGUACUAAUAUUGUAAGCAUUGGUUUUAACAGAUACAACAAAAAUACCUUUGGUUGAAGCUUCCUCCAACUUGCGUCUCAAUUGUUCAGGAAUGAAACUAUAACAAACACCUCCAACACUUUGUGGUAAUAGUCAAAGGCGUAUAAUUUGGUUCAAGACUAUAAGCCUUAAUCAAUGAGUAGCAAAAAUAUGGUUUCACACUAAUCCCAUGACGAGAAUAUUUGCGGUGAUAGUGAAAGGCGUGUAAUUUGGUUCAAGACUUCAAGCCUUAAAAGUGGAUCCAUGCAUACGACUAGAAGGGAGAUGGAAGAGGCAAGGAAAAGAGGUAAUUGGGAGCCGCCGACUCCGGUUAGACCUCAGACUACUGUUUUAUUUUUAUCUUUUUACAGCUUUAUUCUUUAAAAGGGUAAAAUGAAAACUUUGAAUUUUGCUAAGUAAUAACAGAUAAUUAAUUAAGUGCAAAUAGUAAAAAAAAAUUAAUAUUAAGAAGAUGAUGGUUUGGAACUAUUUCAAUAAUUUGGAAAUUGAGAGUAUUAAACUCAGAAUGCAUGGGUAGAGAUCAAAUACCAUAUCCAAUAGGAUAUUUGAGCACAUGCAAGUGCAGAUAGUAAAUCCCAAGUCUUAUAGUGGUAAUAAUACCCUUUUUAGUAUUUGUUUUUCACUCUUUAGUUGACAAAAAAGAAUUUUUAUAGUAUCAAUAUAGAUAAACAUUUUUCUUCUAAUACAAUGCAUGAUUCAUUAAAAUUCACUGAGAAUAAAGGAAAGGAAAUAACCAUCUCAACCCACCCCCUCAGUUAUAUACUAAAUAGAAGGGGAUCUUUGGCGUCUCAUUCACCGCCACGGCAAGUGAAACACGACUCCACCUACAGAAAUAAAAUAAAAAAUUGCUAGUGUGAUGAAAAGUGACAACUUUUUUUUCUUACCAAUUUGAAACUUCAAUUUUUCUUUUUUUCAAGAUUUGAAAUAUUUUAUUUUCUUUAUUUUUUAUAGUCCCAUAUUUGGUCCUACAUCAGUCUCUUCCACUAGAAAAAUCUCACCCUUCAUCUUGAAAACAACUAGGGUUGAUAUGAAUCUUGAUGAGUCAAUAAUUUCUUCAAUUAGAGGAACCCAUUAUUCUUGGUAUUUGGUUGGAAUCACAAUGGCACCUUACUAUGAUAUACAUGUUUAUUGAGCUUCUAGUUGAUACAAAUGAUAUAUAUGAUUACUAGUAUGAAAAAUAUGAGCCUCGAACCUUAUUAGAAGUAUUCUAUAGAAAUUGUAUGUUUGUAUGUCAAUAUAUUUAGUUGUCAUGUGAAAUUGAUAAUGUGUGCGCUCACAUUGUAAAUCAUAUGUGCUGAUGUAGACAAUAAGAUGUGUGGUGAUCAGUUGCACUCAGUGGUACAAAGAUGAUCCUAGUUGGUAUAUAUGCGAUAGGGGAUCAUACGUUUUCAAGGGUGAUCAUGAUUAGUACAUCCGAGAUGGGUGAUCACUGUUGCACGAUUAGAUUACACAUAUGGUUUUGCUUGGUAUAUCUGCAAUGGGGGACCACAUACGCAUUACAGGAGUGAUCAUGUGUUGGUAUAUCUGUGAUGGGUGAUCACUACCUAAAGUUAGGAUACGAUUCUGCUUGGUAUAUUCGUGAAGGGCCCGUACAUAUGAUAGUGAUCAUGCUUGGUAUGUCCAUGAUGGGUGAUCGCUGCCUGCACAAUUGGACAAUGCCUAUGGUUCUGCUUGGUGUAUCCGCAAUAAAGGAUCAUACACAUUCUAGGAGUGAUCAUGCUUGGUAUAUCCGCGAUAGGUGAUCACUACCUAGAGUUAGGAUACAAUUCUGGUAGGUAUAUCCGCAAUGGGGGACCGUACAUAUAAUAGGGGUGAUUAUACUUGGUAUAUCUGCGAUGGGUGAUCAUUGCCUGCACUAUUAGACUAUGCCUAUGGUUUUGCUUGGUAUAUCCGCAAUGGGUGACCAUACGCAUUCUAGGAGUGACCAUGCUUGGUAUAUCCGUGAUGGGUGAUUACUACCUAGAGUUAGAAUUCGGUUCUGCUUGUUAUAUCCGCAAUUGAGGACCGUACAUAUGAUUGGGGUGAUCAUGCUUAGUGUAAUUCGAUGGGUGAUCACUGUCUACCUAAGGUUGUGAGGAUUAGUUGUACUUGCUUAAUUUCGAUAGACGACCAUAUUUUAGUUAGAUUCCGUUGAGUGGUCCGGAAUCCCAGUUCUUGUUUGUUUCCAUUAAGUUAGUCUGAAAACCUAGAUUCAAGUGCAUAAGAAUUGCUCACAGUGGAUAUUGUGGAUGCAAAUUUCCGCCUUCUUCUUCUUGGACAAAAUUGCACCUACAAAACAAUUAAUGCCUUAGGUCAAGGCCAAGAGGCUCAUGCGCCCACGAUGAAUUGGCGGGGGCUUUGGCCGAAGAACCUCCGAUGCCAAAGUUAGAAUUUAGAGAGAAAAGUAUUUGGAGAGUUUUUGGGAGUUUUGCAAGAGUAUGAAACUUAGCUUUUUAGAAGAAAUAGGGUCAUAUAUAUAGGGAAUGGGGUGUGGCCGGCCUUUAAGUGUGUUUUGGGGUGUUAUUUGGUGAUUCAAUUAGCAAUUAAUAUAUGAAUUAGGUAUAAAUAUAUUAAUUGGCUAAUUAUCAUAAUAAAACAAAUGUUUUGGGAGAUUUUGAAGGUUAUGGAAUGAGGAUGGAUGAGACAAAUUUGAACUUGUUACCUAUUUUGGGUACUCCUGAUUUGGUUGAUGGAUGAUUCUCCACUGCUCACGUGUAGAAGAGCCGGUAUGCACCGAGGGUAAAUUUGUCAUCUUCACCCAAAAAUCCACAUAUCGCCUUAUGAUUAUUUUUGGCUCCACAGAUAUUAUGUUUGUAAAUUAGAGUUAUCAUGUUAUUGUUUGGAAUCCAGGUAGGGAAUUAUGGUGAGUUCCUUUAUUAAAUUGGUGAAAUGAUAUGUGAUUUUUUUUAUUGAUUAACGUAGUUAAAUGUUAAUAUUGUGCAUCUUUGAUUUGUUAGAUCGCUUAAUUGUUGUGAUUGUGGAUUGUGUUGGAAAAUAUUGUGAUAUAGGUGAAUGACAAUCUUGUUCACAUAUGAUUUCAUUAUGUAGACGAAAAUCUAGCAAGGCAUACUCAAUUAUUGGUUCCCUUGUGUGAUUUUGGAACUCUAUGUUCUUGCCAGUUAAUGCCUUGAGAAUUUUAGAGCUUAAAAGAAGGGUGAAUUACGAAUGGUUUGAUCCCGUUGUAAGGUAUAUAGGCAGUCUAACAUAGAUGUUCGAUGAUCAAGUACAUGGUGACGUCGCGUGUCGAUCCUGGACGUAGCUCGGGAUCAGAGGGUGACAUAUAGACUAUUGCAUUUGAUCCCCCAUAAACGCUCAUGCACAUCACCAUCUAAAAAGGAAACAACCAUCUUCACCGUAUUCCUUUCCGGAAUUGGCUAUGUCUUAAAAAGUCUCUCAGUUGUAAAAAUUAGGAUACAAAUCGUUAUAUUGUUUGCAAGAGCACGAAGCUCAAACUAGGAAAUAUCAUAAUAGAAUUAUUUUUACUUUCUAAUUUAUUUAUGUUCAAUGACUUCAAUUAUUUCCCUAAAUCAAGAGUGUUUUGAUGAUUUCCCACUAAAUUAACAUAAAGGGCCAAUUUCCACAUAGGGCCAUGUAUCCCCGUACUUCAUCUAACUUUCUAUUGAAAAUGUCACAUUUCAAAAUUUAAAAAAAAAAAAAAGAAGAAGACAAUAAUAAGAUUAAGAAAGGAAAUAUAACAAACACAAAAGGAGAUUCAACGACCAACAUGUGACUUUCUGGAUUGAAUUUGGGUAAAUUUGAAGCUAGGGAGAAAUUAUCUAUUCAUAGUAUUUUAGGGAAAAAAUUGGCCAAACCAAAACUUUAUGGGUAAUAUCGGCAAUGGGGUACAGGUUAAGGGUGGGAAUCGGCGAAUUACUCUUCUUAAAUGUAUAGAGAAACUGAACUCAAGUGAAGCUCUAGGUUAGUGUCAAUUAGGGAUGGGCAACGGUUAUCCCGGACGGGUAACCGUGGUUAUUUACCCAUAACUCAUACCCGCAUAACUUUUUACCCAUUGGGUAAUUGCCUAAAAGGUUAGACCCAUACUCAUAACCGCAUACCCAUUUAACCGUAACUGUUUAAUACCCGUUUACCCAUUUACCCUUUUUAACCCCGUUUAUCCUUUUUUUUACCAUUACCCAUUUUUCACCCGUCUACGUGUUUUUUAACAACUUGAAAAUUAAAAAAAAAAUUGUCAUAAUUUUUUUUUUGACAAUUAAACACCGUUAUAGGUACAUUCAUCAUACAUUUCCGUAUUUUAAUUUUCAAACAGACCAUAGAUGUCCUAGUUUACAUGAUUUAAGCCAGUCAGUUAAGAGUUAUUUUACUCACCACCUAACCCUUGUAUAGCUUACGCCCCUCUAGAUUGUGCCACAUGUUUAAAAGACAAAACACAAUCAGUCUAAUGCAUUUAUUUAUUUCUUACCAAUAAUUAAGCAAUAAACUUACCAUUCAAAACCCCACUGAGUGAGGUUUCAAAACAUAAUUCAUUAAAAUUACAUGAUGAAUGUUGUUGUUAAGGCCUUGCAAGGCAUGAGAGUGAUUGGAGUUGGGGCUCUUGACUUUAUAAUUGGUGCAGCUCUCUAUUCUUCGGCAUCCUAAUUUGGGACAACAUUAAAAAUUCGUAUGAUCACCUAUCAAAUUUGCCCCACCUAGUCAGAAAUCAUAUUGCUAUUUAGCCUAAUGAAAAAUUCAAAAGUUAGUUCGCAUCGAAAACGACAUUCACUACUUUUAUUUAUGAGACAAAGAUGCCCUAUUAAAUGGCGGCUCAGUUUACUCUCGAGGAUUGCUGAUUAAGUAAGCUCGAGAGGAACGGGUCUAAACAAGACAAGAGGAGUAUACUAUUCAAACUAUGCACAACAAGGAUACGGUUAGUACUUACAAGGAACUUUCUCUUCAGGUUGCUUUCGGUUGCACAACUCCGAGAGCAGAUUAUAUACUUCAUGGCUUAGUGUUUGGAUCUUCUCCCAGGCUUGGCAAUGACCGAAGUGCAUGGUCAGAAGGGCAAGUCUUGUGAAGUUGCCAUUGCUCCACUGGCCCUGCCUUGACCUCUUCCUCUUGUCACAGUUUGCGAAGACGAUGGCAAUGCAGCAGAUCGCUGAGUGAACUCCAUUCGCCUUGAUCAUGGCACGGCCUGACUACCUCUUCCUCUUCCUCACCACACCUAAACCCUAACAACAAUAUCAAACUAAGCCUUAAGUUAACAAAGUAAAUUAUGCAUGUACGAUUUCCUCAGUUACUGCUCGAGAAGAGGAUGCAAAUUGUGUUGCGAAUUAUAUAUUAGUUAGAGUUUAAAUAGUAGUUUAUUGUCCUACAUUGGUGAAGUACAUAUGUAAUACCAAUUGUAACUCCUAUAUAUACUCCACUUUGGAGAUUAAUGAAUAUAUUAGAAAUUCCCAAAUAUUGUCAUAUAUAUAUUUUUGGUAUUUACCAUGUUUAGUUUAAUAUUGGUAUUUACCAUGUUUAGUUCAAUAUGGCAUCAGAGCAGUUCGCUCUUGAUGACCUGUGUGCUUUAAUUUUGUGCCCAUAUAUUUUCGUGAUUUCCUUCGUGGAAAAAAAAAAGAAGUGAAUAGUGUCGCAACAGUACAAUGCGUGAACAGUGGUCAUCUACAGUGCCGUAAACAGUGAUUGCUAUAGUGCGUGAAUAGUGAUCUGCUACAGUGCCGUGAACAAUCUCUGCUACAGUGUUCUGGUAAAUUAUUUUCAUUCCGCUGCGUAUCUUUUGUGCCUUUAUUGUUCGUGAUUUUGUUCAAUGGCUCAAUAUAAUCAUAAUGUUGUUAUGCAUCUUGGUGGAACAAAUAAAUGGAUAAUUGAUACUUGGGCCACUGAUCAUGUGACUAGUGACCCUAAAGUGUUUGAUGAGUUAUGUGACUAUGUUCGUGAUCCGUAUGUUACUAGUGCAAAUAGAGCACAUUCCCCUGUGAAGGGUGAAGGCACUAUCUCUCUGACUCUAACCUUAUCAUUGGUCCGUGUUUUACUUGUUCCUGAUCUUAAGUGCAAUCUUUUGUCGGUAGGAAAACUUCUUGAUACCUUAUAUUAUUCUGUUCACUUCUACCCUACAUAUUGUUAUUUUCAAGAUAUUCAAACUCAGAAGAUAAUUGGUCAUGGUAAAAGAAUAGGGGGUUUGUACAUCUUGACUAUGGAUGAUACUGUUGUUUCUGGUUCAAAUAAUCAUCAAGUUUUAAGUGCUAAAGUGGAUGACAGACAUCAAAUUUGGUUGUGGCAUCGACGAUUGAGACAUCCAUCAUUCAAUUAUAUGAAACAUCUAUUUCCUUCUUUGUUUCGCACUUGUAGUGAUUCGGAGUUCAAGUGUGAAACAUGUGUCAUGGCUAAGAGUCAUCGUGCUUCCUUUUCCGUAAGUGAUUCUAAAGCUACUUUGCCAUUUGAUUUGAUACAUUCUGAUGUGUGGGGUCCGGCGAAAGUUACUUCUAAUGGAUUCCGUUGGUUUGUUACUUUUAUUGAUGAUUGUACUCGGUUAACUUGGGUGUUCUUGAUGAAAAAUAAGAGUGAUGUUCCGUUACUUCUUCAAGAAUUUUGUACAAUGGUGUCUACUCAGUUUCAAACCACAGUUAAGGUCUUCAGGUCUGAUAACUGGGGAGAAUAUGUGAAUCACACUUUGUCAUGUUUUUUUUCGUGAUCAUGGUAUUAUUCACCAGAUGACUACUCUGUUUACACCCUAACAAAAUGGUGUGUCCGAACGGAAGAAUCGUCAAAUAAUGGAAGUUGCUCGCUCCUUGAUGUUGGAUAAAUGUGUUCCUAAUCAUUUGUGGGGUCAUGCUGUUUUGGCUGCUGUGUAUUUGAUCAAUCGUGUUCCAAGUAGGGUUCUUGAUUUUCAAACACCGUUCAAUGUGCUACAAAAACAUGUUUCUCUUGUUUCUGUAUCAAAGCUUCCUCCUAAAGUGUUUGGGUGUAUUGCGUAUGUGCAUGUCUACUCUCAUCAGCAGAGUAAACUUGAUGCAUGUGCUUUCCAGUGUGUCUUUAUUGUGUAUGCUAACAAUCAGAAAGGCUAUAAGUGUUAUCAUUCUCCGACUCAAAAAACUUAUAUUACCAUAGAUGUCACCUUUUAUGAGGAAGUUUCAUAUUUUGUGAAGCCCUUUUCCGACUCUCCACUUCAGGAGGAGAGGGGGAGUGAAGUGCAGAUUCGAAGAUAUGGUAUGGAUGAUAUGUUACAGGCAGAGUUGGGAACAUAACCUAUUAUGUUGCGUGAUACUGAUCAAUCGACUACAGAUAGUGAUCGGUCACCUGUUAUUCUCGGAACUAUUUCUACUGAUGAUAGAUCAGAUGUGCCCAGCGAGUUGCCUGUUAGUAUGUCUAACGAAUUACCUUCUCAUGAUCGGUUGCAUGCUGCUGAUAUGUCUAAUGAGUUGCCUGAUGAUGGUUCGUCCAGUGAUGAUUCUUCUAACAGUUUGGUACAACAUGGUGGCAUACAUGAGGUAAAUUUUGAUGAUUCUUCUACUUAUCAGUUUCCUCCACGAGCUAAUCGUGGAAAACCUAAAGUACAAUAUGAGCCUGAUAUGCAUGCCAAAGCCAAAUAUCCUAUCAACAAUUAUGUGUCUACUCAUCGUUUAUCCAAACCAUAUGCAUCUUACAUAUGUCAGUUAUCUAGUGUAUCAAUUCCAACAAAAUUGCAAGAUGCUUUGUCUGACCCUAAGUGGGUUAAUGCCAUGGAAGUUGAGAUGGAAGCUUUGAAAAAGAAUUCUACCUGGGAUUUGGUUCCUUUACCAAACGAAAAAAAAGUCGUUGGAUGUAAAUGGGUGUUUACUAUUAAGCAGAGAGCAGAUGGCUCUAUUGACCGAUAUAAAGCUAGAUUAGUUGCUAAGGGUUAUACUCAAACCUAGGGGUGGACUAUCAAGAGACAUUUGCUCCUGUUGCCAAAUUUAAUAUUGUGCGUGUUCUUCUGUCCUUAGCAGCAAACUAGGAUUGGCCUCUGUUGCAGUUUGAUGUUAAGAAUGUUUUCCUUCAUAGUGAUCUUAAGGAGAAAGUGUAUAUGGAUCUCUCACCUGGUAUUGGAACAUCUCCUGGAAAAUGUGUUGUAUGCAGGUUACGAAAGGCUUUGUAUGGUUUGAAACAAUCUCCUAGAGCGUGGUUUGGGAGGUUUACAAGUUCAAUGAAGAAGUUUGGGUAUAUCCAGAGUCAUUCAGAUCAUACUUUGUUUCUAAAGCGACAAAAUGGUAAGCUAACUGCAUUAAUUAUUUAUGUUGAUGACAUGAUAGUGACUGGUGAUGAUCAGAAGGAGUUACAACGUCUACAUAAGUACCUAGCUACUGAGUUUGAGAUGAAAGAAUUGGGUGAAUUGAAGUAUUUUCUUGGAAUCGAGGUUGCACGAUCCAAGCAUGGUAUUUUUCUAUCUCAACGGAAAUAUGUUCUUGAUUUGGUAGCUGAAACAGGUAUGUUAGAUUGCAAAUCUGUUGAUACUUCGAUUGAGCAGAAUCAUCGUCUGGGCUUAUUUCCAGAUCAAGUUCCUACUCAUAAGGAACGGUAUCAGAGGCUUGUGGGGAGAUUAAUUUAUUUGUCUCACACUUGCCCUGACAUUGCAGUUAGUGUGGUAAGUCAGUUUAUGCACUCACCUAGUCAAGCUCAUAUAGAUGCAGUUACCCGUAUUUUAAGGUACUUGAAGAUGGCUCCUGGUAGAGGCUUGUUUUUCUCCAAUGAUGGUCAUUUGAAUGUCGAAGGGUAUACAGAUGCAGAUUGGGCAGGUUCUAUCACUGAUCGGCGAUCUACAUCUGGUUACUUUACAUUUGUGGGUGGUAAUUUGGUUACUUGGAGAAGCAAGAAACAAAAAGUGGUGGCUAGGUCAAGUGCAGAAGUUGAGUUUCGUGGUAUGUCGCAUGGUGUAUGUGAGUUGUUGUGGUUGAAAAAAUUGUUGAGAGAUCUUGGGUUUAAUCCCUAAGGUGUUAUGAAACUUCAUUGUGAUAACAAGGCUGCUAUUGGGAUUGCUCAUAAUCCAGUGCAACAUAAUCGAACAAAACAUGUGGAGAUUGAUCGACAUUUCAUUAAGAAAAAAUUGGAUGCUGAAAUUAUUAUGUUUCCGUUUGUGAGAUCUGAAGAUCAAUUUGCUGAUGCUCUUACUAAUGUUGUGUCUAAUAGUGUGUUUUCCAACUCGUUUGACAAGUUGGGCAUGCGUGACAUCUUUGCACCAACUUGAGGGGGAGUGUUGCGAGUUAUAUAUUAGUUAGAAUUUAAAUAGUAGUUUAUUGUGCCACAUUGGUGAAGUACAUAUGUAAUACCAAUUGUAACUCCUAUAUAUAUUCCACUUUGGAGAUUAAUGAAUAUAUUAGAAAUUCCCAAAUAUUGUCAUAUAUAUAUUUUUAGUAUUUACCAUGUUUAGUUUAAUAUUGGUAUUUACCAUAUUUAGUUCAAUAAAUUGAGUUUCAUCGCCUUUGCCUACAACCCUCCCAUUUCCUCUGCCCAUUGGUCUAACUCUUCCUCUACCUCCUCCCCACUGAAUGAACAAGAAACGCUGGCUCGCUCGCUCUAAAUUUGGGUUGUGAUCAUGAAAUAAAUGAAACAAUAGGAAAGUGUACUCUAUCAAUUAAGAAAUGACACCCAAAACGUCCUCCUUCUCAUCCUCCUCGCCACCAACAAUAUGCCUGACGGUAAUACGGGUGGAGGAACUCGAAUUAUUCGAAUUCGAGAGGUGGCUGGCCACAAAGCGACUAUCAAUCAGAUCACGCCAGGACUCGUGGACGCAUUUGAACCGCAUCAGGGGAUUUAGGUGGCAACAUUGACAGGAUUUGCGCCACCAUAUCAUCCGACAAUUUGCAGAAAUUUGCCAUUAAUUAACUAAUUAAUGAAUAAUUUACUUGUACUCCUCCUCUUCAUCCAUCUCUACUUUCCUUUAAUCUUGAGCAAAACAAACCGGAACGAUGAUCACUGAAACUGUUACCUUGAUUUUUCGAUAGCGUCGACAGCGUUGAGACCAGGAAGACCCACUCAAAUUCCUCUCCGCGACACGAGCGACUGGGAAUCCUUCGUUUUCGAGCAUUCCUCGGCUUGUUCCCUUCGUCCUCUCCGCUUGACAAAAUCGUAGGAUUCCCACCCCAACUGGAUUGCAUGGCAAUGAAGCACCAAACCCAUUGAGAGAUACGAGAGGUCGGCGACUCGACGCAAGCUCGAAGAAGAAAGGAGAAAGUGUAGUUGUUGGGCAGUUGAAAUUACACAAAAAUCCUUAAUAACGGGUCUAAACGGGUUUCGCGGGUUCACCCAAAAUGACCCGUUAACCAUCCGACCCGUUUAUCACCCAUCCGAAUACUUAUUUUAACGGAUCAGGUCGGAUCGGGUUAACGGAUCGGGUGAAAAAUGUUAGGUCUAGCCUCUGACGACGGUAGUCUAUGUGUUUUAGUCAACGCCAGUCAACGCAUACUGACAAUGCUCCGUAGGGUUUCUCUUCGUUUCCAAAUACUGGUCUUGCUGUUUGCCGCCGUGACGCUCGCUCUUUCUGUUUUGUGUAAACGGGUUUGGGCAUUGGGUCGAGCAUUUGGGCUUUUACGAACUAAAAAAUAUUCGCAAGGUGUUUUUUCCUUUUUGGUCCGUCUCAAUAAUAUUCUGCUUAAGUGCUUUCCGAAAGGCUAAAAGUGCUUCAAAAAAUUAAAAGUGCUUCUUACGAUAUUUAGCAAAGAAAUAUUGUGUGUUUGCAGAUUAUGAAUAUUAAUUUUUUCCUAGAAAGUAGCAGAUAUUGAGUGUUUUCUUAAAGAAGCACAGGUUGAGUGCUUCUCUAAACAAGCAUUUGGAUUUUAAUUGACACACUUGUACCAAAAGCACUUCUAUUGAUUAAGAGAUGUAAUUUCGAGUGAAGCAUCUAAGGGGCCCUUCAAGUUGAGAACUUCUAUAACACAAGUACACUGCUAUUGUAGCGUGCCUGCAUUUGAAGUUUUUCUGCACACUAUAUCAGCCUGCAUAAGUACUCCAAAGUUAAACGCGUGCAUUUGAAGUUCUUCUGCAAGUUAUAUCAGCCUGCGGAAGUAAGUCUUUUUAACUUUGGUUUCAUGAUUAUAUCCAUACAUUUUGAACACAAAGAAUAUCAUAUCAUGUAACAUAAAAAAUAUCAUAUAUCAAUUCAGAAGCCCGCUGAGUAGGUUGUCAAAACAUCAUUCCGCAAAGAGAGAAACAAAUAAAGCAAUUAAAAGAGCUGCAAUCAUCAAGCAAAUUUGACACUUGAUGCAUCCAGAACAUCUUCUCCUUUGUCAUAAAUCUACAACCAUAUCUUACAUACAAGUUCGGUAUCCUACUUCCAAGACAAACAUCAAAAAUUCAAUCCGCUAUCAAAUUUUCCUUCACCUAGUCAGCAAUCGCCUUCUGUUUAAAAGUAAUGAACUAUUCAAAAUUAAGUUCCACCUUAAAUACGAGACCAGUGGUGUAAGGAUAACACUGAACAAAAUGAGAGGAGUGAUUAGUAUCUCAAACUAUGCACAAAAAGGAUGAAGUUAGUGCUGCUGUAAGAACAGAUCAUGUGGCUUUCAUUUGCUUGAUUGGGAACUUCUCUUCAGCUUGCUUUUGCCACAUAUAAUUUGCAACUUCAAUCCACUGUUUAUCAACUAAAAACUUCUUUUCUUUGACCGCCCAUUUAGACUUCUCUAUGCCAGCAUCUCUUGAAACCACAUGUGUCACCGAUGGGUCCACUUGUGUCGAACAAGAGGCUCCCAACUGCUCUGCCAUCUUCCAGAGAGGUUGAUUCUCAGCAUCGACAUUCGAAGGAAAUUCGUGGCUGAAAAAAAUUUUACACCCCUUUAACACAUCCUUCUUAACAGUUUUUAACACCUACAAAAAUAGCAUCCAGAAGAAUCCACAUUAAAUAUAUGAAGCUAAAGGAAAUAGUCAUGUUUUAGUGGCUCUGAAAAAACUUGUUCACCUGUCUCACAUCUCUUUCAACAAGAUUAUCCUCCAAUUCCUACGAGAUGGCCACCAACAAUAGAUUAGCACACAAAGAAAGUGUAACUUUUUGCCAUCAUGGAGACAUAAAGUGGUACUUACACAUGGUUCAUCCUAAUGCUAUAUAAGUUAGGUUACUGAUUUGUUUCCUCAUUUCUUCAUUGGUGAUUUGUAUUUUCGGUGAUUUUAAGAAUGGGUAAUAAGUUUUUGUCAAGAGUUAAUGUGUUCAGUUUCAUUUUCUCUAAUUUCUGUUCUAUAUGGUUUUGUGUCUUGUGAUUGGAGUGUCAUGUGAUUAGAGGUUCUAAAAGACAAACAUGACUUUUUUUUAUUUUGUCAGAUGAGGGGGGAGCAAGUUCUGUUCAAAAUUUGGGUUUUCCGAUGGCUUGAAAGAAAUUAUAUCACUAUUGCUAUUACAAGUGUCCAGUUUGCAGAAAUGACAAGGCAUGCUACAAUCUAUGCUUCUUUGGUAGAUUUGAUUCAAAUUGGUAGAUUUCGGUAAGAAAUAAACUUUUAUCUUUUCUUUUAGUUAAAGAAAGUUAGGACAUCAAUUUGUAAAAGAUAUGAAUAUUAACAAUGGUGAUAGAACCGCCAAUCCAUAUAGUUGUAAAUAGAUUUCCACAUAUAUGUAAAUAGUAUUGCAUAUCGUGUGUAUUUAUAACUUUCUACAUAUUUUAUACAGUUUUAAACCAGCAGCAUCGCGCGGGCACCGUUGCUAGUUAUCUAUACUAAAGCUCAAUAAGAAAAACAUUGUUCUUAAGUACAACGAAAGGACAGAAAAGCCCCUAUUUAACUAUUAUUUUUCAGUGUUAUUUUUUUGCUGCAUAGUGAAAUGGCCAAAAUGGCCCUGCCCCUUCAAUUUGUCGACCCACCGUUUCUCUAGAUACUUCCCAGUUCCCACAUCGUUUUUCUCACCGUGCUGCUUGCCUCUACUCUCCCCGUCUUCCUCGUCACCUCAUCUACUAAAUUCUCUUCGAUUCUACCAACCGUCGCUACCGUUCAGACUUUCCCAAAGGUAAAUUCUUUUCUCUUCCUUACACAAUUUGAUAUUGAUUUUGAAAAUAGUGAAAACCCCAUAAAACAAACUGACUUUCUCAACCGAAGAUUAUGAUAUAUGUUUCUAAGCGGUUUCCCUUCGGAAGAUUUUCAAAGAUGUUACUGUCCGUCCUUUUAGUUGUUAAAAUCUGUUUGUUUGAGUUGUACAUAGAACUCUUAACGUAGAAUUAGUAAAAUGCAGGUGCAGAAUGAACGACUAAUCAAUGUGGGAAAAUGUAUAUAACUGUAACUUAGAAAUCUCCCAUUUUGAUUGCACAUAUGCUCUUGAUGUAAAGUAAAUAAAAUGUAAUGUAACUUAAAGAUUGAUUUUACCAGGUUGGUUUAGCUGUUCUGUUAAUUUUUGAAAUAUUUAGAAACAAAUGGGUUGAUUUGUGAUUUUAUGGAAUUUUCAGAAGUAUUUAUUAUGUGUAUAGUGAUAAAUAUAUGUGUUUGUGAAUGCAAUUAAGCUGUUGAUAGCUUUUGAGUAUCAAUCGAUUAUUUUGUACUGUUUUUCAAGCUUUCUCUCUUUUUUUGGGAAAUGACGCAAAUUUGCUAUAAACUAUGAAUUUAAAACCCGCAGCGGAGCGCGGCACUUUUGCUAGUUUUGACCUAGAAGCAAAUGGAAACGGGAAACGUAAUUCCAACUACUUAGUUGAAAACAUUGAAUUUGAUCUCGAGUAGAAAUGUUAUACAAAGCAAACUUAUAGAGCCCCAUUAUUGUAAUACAACAUAACAAAUGCUGAGGCACCAAAAAUCAUAAAAAAACAAGACGUUGGCCUUGAAGGCCCAAACAUUUCUCUAGCCGGUAGAUACAUCAAGCUAAGUUCGGCGUCCCCUCGUCACCCGUGCAGUUGUUGACUUCCUCUUCCUCCUGAAUGUCUCCACAAACCAUUCAUGCUUCUUGUCUGCCAACGUGUUUCCAGCAACCACUCCCACUACUAGUCCGCUAACAACUCCCGGCAAAACUACGUACCAGUCAAACUCAAAUGUAAAUCCAGUCUCUUCAUCUUCUUCAAAGCUUGAUGGUGGCGGCAGCCUUGAGCUUUCAGAACCCUCGCAUUUCUUGGACAAAGGCUUUCCACACAGACCUAAGUUUCCUUGGUAUGAAUCUUCUAGGAAUGUACCAAAUUGUUGGCCAAGUGGUAUUUGCCCCCAAAGGUGGUUAUGCGACACAUUGAAAUACUCAAGGAAAGUGAGUUGUGCCAAGCUACCGGGGAUCAUUCCUGAGAGCUUGUUUUGAGAGAGAUCCAACGAUUCAAGAGCAGUUAAGUUCCCUAGAGAUGAAGGGAUGUGACCAGAGAGAGCGUUGUUGGAGAGGUUUAGCAACUGAAGUUCUCUUAGACUCCCAAUGAUACCCUCUGGAAUCUCUCCUUCAAAUCUAUUACUUGAGAAAUCUAUAAGUCUCAUAUCAUAAGGGGUAUAAUCAUAUGUCAACUUAACACCUUUUACUGGAAUUAUCAUAUUAUAUGAAUCUACAAUGUAAUUUCCAUAUUUAUUUGUGCUGCUGUUCAGUGAGACUAGAAAGUAUCGGCUUCCCUUGUUUGCGACAACAUAUUUCAUGAAAUUCCAGUUCUCUAUGUACUUAGAAGGCAACAUACCUGAAAACAGAUUGUUGGAUAAAUCAAUUAUGCACAAGUUUGGGAACUCAUGAUUAGUUGGAGGCUUCCCAAUUAUCCCAUGAAAUGCAUUCGACCCCAAAAUGAGACCCCUUAAUACUGGAAGUACCCCUAACCAAGAAGGGAAGAUGUCACUGAUCUGAUUGUUGCCAAUGUUAAGAAACUCUAACUGAGUGCAAUCGGCCAUUGAUCUCGAUAGCUUCCCCUGUAACAAAUUGUAACCCAACGAAACCAAUUUCAAACUAUUUUUGUUAGCACAAAAUGGGGGAAUAUCGCCAUGGAAAGAAUUAUAAGUCAAGAUCAGCAUUUCCAAGCUACUGGACUUCCCCAAACACCGUGGAAGCAUGCCACUCAGGCUGUUGUUGGCCAAAUUAAGAACUUGAAGAUAAUUCAAGUUGCAGAACAAUGGUGAAACUUCUCCACUAUAAUUAUUGUUGCCGACAACGUAGGACGUGAUAGAUUGUGGUGGAAUUGGCAAUGACCCUCGUAACCGAUUGGUCCCAAGACUAAAAAUCUGCAGAUUUUUCCAUGGAAGAGUGACUGGAUUUUCCUCAAAGCCUGUUAAGAAGUUUGAAGAGAGGUCGAGAUUGACCAGAGUUUCUCUAGUUCCAUUCCAAAGCCAUUUUGGUAUUUGGCCAUGAAUGUUGUUACCAGAAAGGCCUAGGGAUCCCAAUUCGUAUUGAUUUUUCAAAAAUUCUGGAAACUCUGUCAAGUUGCAUUCAGCCAACUCUAGAAAUUCGAACUUUGGAAGAGUAGCACUCGAACUAGAUUUGACACGCACAGAUAACUUGUUGCCCCCUAAACCAAGUACCUUCAACUUUUUGAGGUUGGAAAACUCAUCAAACUCAACUAAUCCACUCAAAUUAUUAUUGGAAAGGCCAAGACGUUCAAGAUUUCUGAGGUGGAAAAGCGACUUAGGAAUUGCUCCUUGCAAAUCGUUAUAGGUGAGCCGCAGAAAAGUUAAUUGGGUCAACUCUAAUGUGAGCCAAGAUGGGAUUUCACCAGUUAUUGAAUUGACAAACAAGUCUAGAAACACAAGUUGGGUGAGGUUAGCCACAAAACGUGGGAAAUUCCCUUGUAAGUUAAUAUGCGAAAGACGCAAGUGGUUGAGCUUGGUUAAUUUUCCAAAACAAGACAAGGAAUCAGGAACUAAGAAUUGGCCUGCGGAAACGUCAUGAAAUGAAUCCAUCUUAAGGAAAUUGAGCUGGGUAAGGUUUCCAAAUGAAGAUGGAACAUGGGAAUCAAAACCACAGUAUGAGAUAUCAAAGUAAUUUAAGGAAUGAAGGUUUCCGAUAGAACUAGGAAGUUUACCAGAGAAAUUUGUCUCUGAAACAUCUAAUGUUUUGAAGGAAUUGGUCCUGUUAAAAGUAGGAAAAUAACCAUUUAGGUCUGUGUUCGAGUACAAUCUAAGCUCCUCUAAAUUUGGUAGGUGGAAAAUGCCUACUGGGAAUUCCCCAUACAACCCACAAGAGCUUAGAUUGAGAGAUGUGAGAGAAGAUGCGUUGACCAAGAUAUCAGGCACAGUGGAGUAUAUGCCUACAUCACUAAGAUGAAGUUGUUUUGCUGGUCAAGUUUUGGACUAGGAUUCUCAUGAUGGACUUCCUAAGCUCCAAACCAUUAUUGUAAGACAGAACAAGGGUAGACAGUUUGGAUAGCUUUGAAAUUUCAGAUGGAAUUUGGCCAGAAAAUGCAGACCUUGAAAGGUUGAGAUAGGAUAGACUCGAAAGGUCAUGGCCCAAUCUCGAUGGUAUUUUAGAGGAAUUGAAGUUGUUAUCUGAGAGGUCAAGCUUCUGCAAGUGAACAAGUCGGAAGAGGGUGAUGUUGGAAUUGAUAGAACCAUAGAGACAGCUACUCUUGAGGUCAAGGCCAAUGACACGGCCAGACUCCGCAUGGCACUCAACACCAUCCCACGAACAACAGUUACUCUGAUUUUGAUCUCCUUCUCGAGCCCAAGAUGCAACCUUUGGAUAAGCAAAAGGAGAUCCAGAAGCUGACUUGUCUAUCGUAAAGCUUUCCUUGAAUUGUAACAAGAAGGAAUGCUCGUCAGUGUGGCAAAGUGUCCGUGUCUGAGUCUGCACAAAUGAAAAACAGUGAGUAGCAUUGAGUAAUAGCAAAAGAAGACAAUGCAAACAGGUAAACUUGGACAACAAAGAAUCCAUUUUCAUGGCAGUGUGUUUUUCUAGUUAUUGGAAAUAUUGUUUUAUGGCUCUCGGAUAAUUAAGAGUGGAGAAGUUAACUCCUUUUAUAGACACAACUCAUGCAAAGCAUAAAUAAAUAAAUAAAGUAUGAGUCAAUCGAUGAGUGGGUGGUGAAUUGAUGUCUCGAUCAAUUGAAGACUUGGAAUUCAGUCAUCAUUUGCAUGUAAUAAUUGCAAACUCGAUCAUUUAAUUUUAUCUGUGCGCUCGUUUGAUCUUAAAGAAUGUGAACGUAGUACUUUGAGCAGAUAAAAUCAGGUGAUCGCUAUCACUUGAAGACUUGAAGUCAAGUCGUCGUUUGCAUAUGUGACUCAUCGCCACGCUUAUUUAUCUUUUUAAUACAAGUUCUAAUUAUGUGUAUAUAUACUCCUUAACUCAAUUUAUUUAUCGUUACACUUAUUUAUCUCUUGUUAAUUACUUGAGUUGAAGUUCGUCCAUGUAGUAGGAUUUACUAUGUAUACACACAAUUUAUUCAUAGUACGUGAAUAUUAAUUAAUUUAGUUUUUAAUUUAAGGUUAGUGUUUUAUUUUCUCGUGCUUUGCACACAUAACAAACAAUUAGUUGUCACUCCUACUAAUAAAAAUGUCACCGAGGCUGCUAUCUCUGUCACAAACAGAGUAGCUUUUGUUCCACUAAUCAUGGGCAUGAGGUCUCGUGAACCAGAUUAUAAGCCACUGAUCAUCAACAUAAACGUUCUUGUAAAGCUAACCAUGCAUUCAAAGUGAUUCAUUUUAUAGAUAUUUUUGGAUGCGCACAAUAUUAAUUAUAUAUUGCAGGAUGUAACAUGAUUCAUUUUAUAGAAAACUAUAUUUUAAUCCUUAAAUAAGAUAAAAUUAAGAAAAAUGUCUUAUACAAGAUUAAAAUUUGAUUUUAGUUUCUAGACUCUAUUUAAUGUUAGCAUAUGUAAUAUUCAAUGUCUCUCUGUUUUAUUUAUAAUUUAUAAUUCUCAUUAUGGUAAGUAUAUUAUAUAAGAAAAUAUUUUCGUAGAGAUUUUUCGGUACACUUAUGUUUUUCCAUAUUUUAUUAUGUGUCACUAAUUCAUUACAAUGUAUUUAGAUAUGAACAUUUCAGUACACUUAUAUUUUUCCAUAUUUUCUUAUGUACCACUAAUGCACAGCCCGUCUCGGAAUUUUAAUUAUCAUGGACGUGAAAUGACGGAAUUGCCCUAGCGGGUGUUGAGGUAUGUGUAUGUGACAUAUUAUUUGAUCUAAGUAUAUACAUAAUCCAUAAGUUUUUAGGAAAUGUUUUAUGUGGACUAAAAUGGAUAUGUAUGUUUGUGUGGUAGGGGUUAUUUUGCAUCAUACACAACCUACCCUUCUCUCUCCCUCCCCCCGUGUCUCUCUCUCCUCCCCACGGCUUCCUCUCUCCCUCACUCUCGAAUUGUACAGACGAGACCAAAACCCUCCAAACCUCCACGGAUCGACGCCAAAAAGGUAUGGUUCUUCAUCCCUUCAACCUCCUGAGUUGAAUGGUACUAAUUUUAGAACCUAGAACCCUCUGAAUCGUCGUGAAACCCUAACCCCGAAAAUGUGCACUGUUCAUGCACACGUAAAUUCUUGAUUUUCAGGGAAUUCUAAGUUUGUAGUGAGAUUAGUGAGGUCCUAAGGAAGCUCGGGGACGUUCGUUUGAAAGUUUGGACGUCGGAGGACUGAGAACAGAGCUUUUCAAAUUUGGCGGAAUUAUCGAGCUUUCUCAGGUAAAAUCUAGUGGAUUUUAGACCUUAAAACUAGUCUAUCGAUUCUACAUGUUGAGGGCUUCAAAUUGAUAUAAAAUACGAAGAAAAUGGUUUAGAAUUGAAGGAGAACAAGGCAUUUGAAAAUUGCCCAGUUUUCCAACCACUGGAAAAUUCAGUCCGGCGAACCAAGGUAAGGGGUGAUGCACGUGGGGGCGCGUAGACCCGUGCUUGCCUUGGCGCGUAGGGGCGUGUGCCACUUCAAAAAAAAUUUCUAAAAAUUUGUCGACAUCCGUGACGUCGAGUAGGUCACUGUGGUAUAUUCAUAUACCCAAAUUGAGCACCGUAUGAGAAGUUAUUACGAAUUAUUGGUAAUGUGUUUUAAAUAACGUUUUUAUAGUUGUUUCGCAUAUAGGUGACACCUAUACCGAGGACGAGCGUAUCCAGGGACGUCACGGGGGUUACGACCCUUCAACUUAUCAGUGAGUGGGCAGUAUUUUUCUGUAUUUACCUAUAUGCUAUCUAUUUUUCCCAAAAAUCGAAAUUUAAUGAAAAUAUGUUUCUAAAAUGCCAUGCAUGCAUAUUAUGAAUUAUAUGAAUGAAUAAUUGAUGCAUAUAUAUGUGAAAUGGUGCUGAGGAUGCACAGGUGAGUAUCAGAUAAGUUUUACGUUAUUUAUGUGAAUCAUUGAUGAUGUGAUUGUGUUGAGAGCUCAUAACCUGCACCCUUGGUAUUAGUGUUUAUAGUAUUCACCGCACCGUACGCUCACCUUGGAUCCAAGUAGGUGCAUGUCGUACAGACCAUAUGAGGGUUCCGACAUGCUAGUCGUACAGAUCAUUGAGGUGAUUCCGACUGGUAGGUGACUUUAGAUUAUGUGCACAGAUGAUUGAUGAGAGAAGCACUAUAGCGUAUUCUUACACCAUUCUUGUCGUAUAGACUACUUCAGGUAGUUCCGACUUAUGUGCAGUGUAGUGUCGUACAGGUCACCGUGGUGACUCCGGCAGUGCCGUAUAGGUCAUAGUUGUGACUCCGGCUGGUUUGGAUGUUGAGCUUUAGAAUCAGCCGUACAGGACCACUUUAGGGUCUCUGGUUGAUUUAUUUUCACCUGAUUCAUAUUGAUGCAUCCAUAUUCUGUUUUGGCAUUUAUAGCAUGGCAUGACUUCUGGAUUUGGAUAUAGAAUGAUGAUUUGAGUUAUAUGAGGAUAUAUGUAUACUAUUAUGCUAUUUUCUGGGAAAAGUAUAUAGGUUUUACAGUGAGGGGUUAGAAUUGUUUUUGGCGAAAUGAUUUUGAAAAGCUUUGGUUUUUCUAACCCACUCUAUCUUGUUUUUCGCCCCUCCAGGUUCUAGUUAGCUGCGUUGAUAGCCCACGAGGAUUUCUUCGGAGUUCUGACAGACUUCUUUAAUGCAGGACUCACCUGCGUGUGUUGUAUUUUAGUUAUGGUCCUACUUGACUGCAACUAGUGUUUAUGCUUUGUUUAUGUGUGUGUUCACACUUUAAUUCACCCUAGCAUGUUAGUAGGUUAUAUUUACUAGUAUUUGGUUUUAAUUCCUUCGUACUUCUUUUAGCUUCUGCUUCCGCACCGCAAUUAUGGUUACGUCACGCUCACGUGACGGCCAGCACGCCUUGAUUCUAGGAUCGGGGUGUGUCAACUAAUUCAUUACAAUAUAUUUAGGUAUGAACAUUUCGGUACACUAGGUUAGUAUAAUAUAUUUAGGUACGGACAUUUCGGUACACUAGUUUAGUAUAAUAUAUUUAGGUACUAACAUUUCGGUACACUAGUUUAGCAUCAUAUAUUUAGGUAUGAAAUUUUUUUGGUACACUUAUGUUUUUGCAUAUUUUCUUAUGUGCCACUAAUUCACUACAAUACAUUUAUGUACAGACAUUUCGGUACACUAAUUUUGUAAAAUAUAUUAUGAUACAAACGUUUAGGUACACUAAUUAGAUGAAGUAAAAUAAAAUUAAUGAAUUAAAAUAUGUAUCAUAAUACAUUUCAAUUUUAAUGUAAUGUAAUGACAUUAAAUAAGAUAUCUAUUAAAUAUUAAAAAAACUGUAAUAUGAAUUUGAAUUAAGUACACAUUAGAGGACUAAAAUCAAUAUCCAAUCUAACACCAGGUUUUUAUUGAAUUUUAAUCUUCUUCAAGGAUUAAAGUUCAAAAACCCCUUAAUGUUAAUGUCGUAAGAUUAUUGAUUACUAUGCGGUAGUACCAAUUUUGUCUGAAGUAAUGAAUCAUCCUUUUAUAGACUUCAUCUACCUUUUCGCGAGAGUUGUGAGACUUCUCCGAAUGAUCAUAUUCAUUCAUGGAAUGACACAUCAUUUAUAGAAGGGUAUAACCUCUAUCAGUGGUGGAUCCAUGAUUUUAGUGUCAGGUGGUCCCAAUUUAAAGCUCCAAAAAAGAAAGACCAAAAUAACAUUGAAAAAAUAAAUGACAAAAUCAAUACCAUUUAUCCGUCUACUAAAAUAAAAAUAAGUACAACUACAUAAUAUAUAACGCAUGUAGUUAAUGUGAGACUAUCAAGACUCUUGUCAUUAAUACAUAGAUAAACAUGGUGUUGAUCACUUGAGUAACAAGUUCUCACAACAUGAACUAAUAAAUAAAUCAUGCACUCCAAAAAAUAACUUGCAUAACUAAAUCCUAAUUAGGGUUUUGGGAUCAAAGAGAACAAUGGAAGACGUUCGCAAACCUAAAGGUUAAAAGUUAUUAAAUUUGGAGAUCUUUUAAUCAUUCAUAUACAUAAAACAAAUAAACAGUUCAUUAUGAAUAUACUACUUGUUACUAAAAAUGUUGAUUGGCUUGACAUGAAUGAAUGAAUGACUAAAAGGUCUCUGUAUUGAAGGAUUUUUGCAUAUACGAUUAUGAUAAUGAGAAUAAACAGUUUCAAUAUGAUAUUCGUACAGUGAAGAUACAUUAAUCGUAAGUGAGGGGACAAGCAUUGUCCAAAAAAGUGUGUGCUUAUACUUGUACUCCUUGGGAGAUGAGCUCAUUCUUCCACUUACAAAUAAAGUAUCUUGACAGUAGAAAUUUCAUAAUCAAAACCGUUCAAUUUCUUAAUCUUCAUUUGAAAAUCAUCUCUGUAAAUAUCAGUCGAAUUAGAUAUUGUUUAAUCAUCUAAAUGUAACAAAUAAAUCAACAGUUUAUAUUGUUUAAUCAUCUAAAUGUAACAAAUAAAUCAACAAUUUAUCAUAAAUAUUUUAGGUGGUACUUACACUGUUAAUUUGUUUGAUACAUUUGGAUCUAAACGACCUCUGAUUCAAAUGAUUUUCUUGUGGAGAUGAUUUUAAGAUAAAGAUUAAAAACUUGAAAUGUUCCAUUUAUAAAAUUGAUAUUGUAAAGAUUCACUAUUUGUAAGCGGAGAAAUAAGCUGACUCCAAAAAGCGAACACAAGUAUUAUUCUUCACAAAACAUACGCAAAAAAAAUAUGGGAAUGAGUGAUGAGUAAUUGAGUGGUGACAAAAAAGAAAUGAAAAAGAAAACCGAACAAGGAGACGAUAAAGUCAAUAAAAUGCCGAUCUCGAUCACUCGAAGACUUGGAAGUCAUAUGAGUCGUUUGCAGGUAAACAUCUCUAGCUAACCUACAAGUCUACCAUUAAUGUUGUUGCUACUUAUUGGCAUUGGGUAUCAGGCAAUUGUCUCAGUUGAAGUCAAACUAUUAAGGCCAAAUUUGCCUUGUCCCACAUGAUAAGGCAUCGCUAAUUAGUAAUUACCACUCAUGUUCUUGUCAUAAUAAAUACUAAAAGUGAUAUUAAGAAAAAAAUAGAAAUUGCAUUUAUAAUUCAGUAAUACAAAAGACCAACACAAGGGUUACAUCAAUAGCAUCUUAAACAUCUAGAGUUCCUCCGGCCACAGUAGCAAAAGCGUUGCGGACAAGGAUUGUUUGCCCUCCUUAUUCCCGUGCCCUCCCAUGCCUUUCUAUUUGUGUGGUCAUGGUUAAGCUACGUCAACAUUUUAUAUUACUAUUCAUUUUUGUCUUAUUAUCUAUAUAAAAAAAACAAUAUAAAAUGUUGACGUGGUUUAACCGUGACCACACAAAACAGGAGGGCACGGGAGAGCACGGGAACAAGGAGGGAAGACAAUCCUUGUCCAAGGGUUGCAUCAAUAGCAUCGAAACCCGAAAUUACGUACUUCUUUGAUGAACAACAACUACUCAUCCCAUCUUCUUCUUGCGUCCAAGAUGUAACUUUUGGAUUGAAGAAGGUUAAUGUUCCACCAUAUGAUAAGGGGAACUUUAACGAAAAGCUCCUGAUACUGUUCACUUUAACGAAAAACCACAUUUUUACAUUAAAAAGUCAAUACUGAUACUAUUCACUUUACCUUUUAUUUUGUCCUUAUCGUUAAAACUCAAAGUUUUUAAGCUCUUUUCAUUAGUUUUCUUUAUGAUACAACUAAUUGAUUAGAUAUAAUGACGUGUGUGUAGUAGGAGAGAUAACUGUGUGGUUAUUAUUUCCCAAAAGGAUUGGGGAAUAAAUUGGUAUGAAUUCAUUAUUCACGAAAUUUGAGCCUAAAAUCUCUUAUUUACAAUAAAAAAGUAAUAUCACUAAACCGAAAUACUAAAUAACUUCAUUUCUCAAAAUUAAAAACUAAAAAUUUAGGUUAUCAAACGAACUCUUAUUUUUUUCAAAUUAUGAUGUAUGUUUUCGUUUUUUUUUUUUUUUAAUGUCCUAAUUAAAUAUGCUUAGGAUCUCACAUAAUUAAGGGUGGAGAAAUCGACGUCCCUUUUUUGUAGACAGUAUAUACAAAGUUGUUUCUUUCAAUGAGCUUGGGGAGCUAUGGACUACAAAAAAUAGUGAUCAUAAUUCUAAACAUACAAGAAGUCAAGAAGGUGGAGAAAUGGGCGCUGAUAAGGGGAACAUAAUAAUUUGCUCAGACCGUCACUUGAAGACUUUAAGUCAAGUCAUCGUUUGAUAAGAUCAGCCCAUCGCCAUCACUUGAAGACAUGAAGACUUGUUCGACAAAAAAAGAAAAAAAGAAAACUUGAAGACUUGGAGUCAAUUCAUCGUUUGCAUGUAAUAAUUAUUAUGUUCACCUUUGAACAAAAGAAAAAAAACCCAUCUCACUGUAAGAUUGAAAAUUUCUGUACUCAUAUCUAAAGUCAAAAUCUUAACAUAUACAAGUAAAAAUUUCACCGGUGUUCUAAGCUAGUUACAAAUACCAUACCAUUAUUCAUCCGACCCCCUUAAUUAUAUACUAAUCAGAAGGGGCUUAUGGGUGUUUCGAUCACCAAGGCACGUAACCUACAGAAAUAAAAAGAAAUGCAAAUAUGAUAAGGAGAGCUACUUUUCAGCACAAAGAAGUAAAGGAAGAAGCAAAAGAAGGCGUCUGUGGAGAUAGUCUUUACGGCAAGUGAAACAUUCUAUAUAUAUCAUUGUCAGAAGCACGAUUUGAGAGUGAAUCCGUCAUUAAUUACUCUUGUUACUAUUCUCCAAUAGGCUUUUUCAUGUUUCCACUCAAUUUUCAUUACGCAGAUGUAUUAUGUCAAGCUGAGUCCUCUCCGAACCGCAGGAGAUAGUUGCCCAUCAUGCAAAGUGACUUUUGGUUCUCACCAAUCUGUUCAUUUUCUUUCCACCAUUACUAGUCAUCCCCUAGCAAAGUUGUCUCCUAAAGGGAAGGAUUUGAUCAUGAUACGAGAGAUAGAGAUGGAAAAGUACAUGAUUUUAUAGGCUAGGGUUUAAUAUUUUUAUUUUUCUUUAAUCAUCAAGAAAAAAAAGGUCAUUGGAUCAUCGUGGUUUAACUUGUUUUCUUUGAUACAUUCGAUAUUUUCAUGAAAAUAUCCAAAAAAUCAUAUAAAGUUACGGAGAUGGGGGGUGAAGUCUAAACUUCACUUUAUAUCAAAGAAACUCUUAAGUUUAGGAUAAAAUCGACAUAUAUCGUCGAUAUUUUGUAUACACCUGUUAAAUAUCGAAAAAAAAUCUCAUAUUUUGUCCAAAUCAAUGUUUAAGAAUUCCCAAUGUUUCAUUUUAAAUUUUCAUUAUUUCCAUAGAAAGCAACCAAUAUUCAAUAUGUCCGUCGAUAUUUCCACAAAUUUGCUUAUUGAUAUUUUCACGGUUACUGAUAUUGUAAGCAUUGGUUGUAACAGAUACAACAAAAAUACCUUUGGGUGAAGCUUCCUCCAACUUGCGUCUCAAUUGUUUAGGAAUGAAACUAUAAUAAACACCUCCAACACUUUGUGGUAAUAGUCAAAGGCGUAUAAUUUGGUUCAAGACUAUAAGCCUUAAUCAAUUAGUAGCAAAAAUAUGGUUUCACACUAAUCCCAUGACGAGAAUAUUUGCGGUGAUAGUGAAAGGCGUGUAAUUUGGUUCAAGACUUCAAGCCUUAAAAGUGGAUCCAUGCAUACGACUAGAAGGGAAAUGGAAGAGGCAGGGAAAAGAGGUAAUUGGGAGCCGUCGACUCCGUUUAGUCCUCAGACUACUGUUUUAAUUUUUUUAUUUUUUAUUUUUACAACUUUAUUCUUUAAAAGGGUAAAAUGAAAACUUUGAAUUUUGCUAAGUAAUAACAGAUAAUUAAUUAAGUGCAAAUAGUAAAAAAAAUUAAUAUUAAGAAGAGGAGGGUUUGGAACUAUUUCAAUAAUUUGGAAAUUGAGAGUUUUAAACUCAGAAUGCAUGGGUAGAGAUCAAAUAACAUAUCCAAUAAGAUAUUUGAGCACAUGCAAGUGCAGAUAGUAAAUCCCAAGUCUUAUAGUGGUAAUAAUACCCUCUUUAGUAUUUGUUUUUCACUCUUUAGUUGACAAAAAAGAAUUUUUAUAGUAUCAAUAUAGAUAAACAUUUUUCUUCUAAUACAAUGCAUGAUUCAUUAAAAUUCACUGAGAAUAAAGGAAAGGAAAUAACCAUCUCAACCCACCCCCUCAGUUAGAAGUAUUCUAUAGAAAUUGUAUGUUUGUAUGUCAAUAUAUUUAGUUGCCAUGUGAAAUUGAUAGUGUGCGCGCUCACAUUGUAAAUCAUAUGUGCUGAUGUAGACAAUAAGAUGUGUGGUGAUCAGUUGCACUCAGUGGUACAAAGAUGAUCCUGGUUGGUAUAUAUGCGAUAGGGGAUCAUACGUAAGGGUGAUCAUGAUUGGUACAUCCGAGAUCGGUGAUCAUAAUUGGCUAAUUAUCAUAAUAAAACAAAUGUUUUGGGAGGUUUUGAAGGUUAUGGAAUGAGGAUGGAUGAGACAAAUUUGAACUUGUUACCUAUUUUGGAUACUCCUGAUUUGGUUGAUGGAUGAUUCUCCAUUGCUCACGUGUAGGAGACCCGGUACGCACCAAGGGUAAAUUUGUCAUCUUCACCCAAAAAUUCACGUGUCGCCUUAUGAUUAUUUUUGGCUCCACAGAUAUUAUGUUUGUAAAUUAGAGUUAUCAUGUUAUUGCUUGGAAUCCAGGUAGGGAAUUAUGGUGAGUUCCUUUAUUAAAUUGGUGAAAUGAUAUGUGAUUUUUUUGAUUGAUUAACGUAGUUAAAUGUUAAUAUUGUGCAUCUUUGAUUUGUUAGAUCGCUUAAUUGUUGUGAUUGUGGAUUGUGUUGGAAAAUAUUGUGAUAUAGGUGAAUGACAAUCUUGUUCACAUACGAUUUCAUUAUGUAGACGAAAAUCUAGCAAGGCAUACUCAAUUAUUGGUUCCCUAGUGUGAUUUUGGAACUCUACGUUCUUGCCAGUUAAUGCCUUGAGAAUUUUAGAGCUCAAAAGAGGGUGAAUUGCGAAUGGUUUGAUCCCGUUGUAAGAUAUAUAGAUAGUCUAACAUAGAUGUUCGAUGAUAAAGUACGCGGUGACGUCACUUGUCGAUCCUGGACGUAGCUCGGGAUCAGAGGGUGACAUAUAGACUCUUGCAUUUGAUCUCCCAUAAACGCUCAUGCACAUCACCAUCUAAAAAGGAAACAACCAUCUUCACCAUAUUCCUUUCCGGAAUUGGCUGUCUUAAAAAGUUUCUCUCAGUUGUAAAAAUUAGGAUACGAAUCGUUGUAUUGUUUGCAAGAGCACGAAGCUCAAACUAGGAAAUAUCAGAAUAGAAUUCUUUUUACUUUCUAAUUUAUUUAUGUUCAAUGACUUCAAUUAUUUCCCUAAAUCAAGAGUGUUUUGAUGAUUUCCCACUAAAUUAACAUAAAGGGCCAAUUUCCGCAUACGGCCAUGUUUCCCCGUACUUCAUCUAACUUUUUUUUUAAUUUCCGAAUUAAAUAUGCUUAGGAUCUCACAUAAUUAAAGGUGGAGAAAUUGACGUCCCUUUUUUGCAGACGGUAUAUACAAAGUUGUUUCUUUCAAUGAGCUUGGGGAGCUAUGGACUACAAAAAAUAGUGAUCAUAAUCUAAACAUACAAGAAGUCAAGAAGGUGGAGAAAUGGGCGCUGAUAAGGGGAACAUAAUAAUUUGCUCAGGCCGUCACUUGAAGACUUUAAGUCAAGUCAUCGUUUGAUAAGAUCAGCCCAUCGCCAUCACUUGAAGACAUGAAGACUCGUUCGACAAAAAAAGAAAAAAAGAAUUCUUGAAGACUUGGAGUCAAUUCAUCGUUUGCAUGUAAUAAUUAUUAUGUUCACCCUUGAACAAAAGGAAAAAAACCCAUCUCACUGUAAGAUUGAAAAUUUCUGUACUCAUAUCUAAAGUCAAAAUCUUAACAUAUACAAGUAAAAAUUUCACCGGUGUUCUAAGCUAGUUACAAAUACCAUACCAUUAUUCAUCCGACCCCCUUAAUUAUAUACUAAUCAGAAGGGGCUUAUGGGUGUUUCGAUCACCAAGGCACGUAACCUACAGAAAUAAAAGGAAAUGCAAAUAUGAUGAGGAGAGCUACUUUUCAGCAGAAAGAAGUAAAGGAAGAAGCCAAAGAAGGCGGCUGUGGAGAUAGUAUUUACGGCAAGUGAAACAUUCUAUAUAUCAUUAUCAGAAGCACGAUUUGAGAGUGAAUUAGUCAUUAAUUACUCUUGUUAUUGUUCUCCAAUAGGCUCUUUCAUGUUGCCACUCAAUUUUCAUUACGAAGAUGUAUUAUGUUAAGCUGAGUCCUCUCCGAACCGCAGGAGAUAGUUGCCUAUCAUGCAAAGUGACUUUUUGUUCUCACCAAUCUGUUCAUUUUCUUUCCACCAUUACUAGUCAUCCCCUAGCAAAGUUGUCUCCAAAAGGGAAGGAUUUGAUCAUGAUAUGAGAGAUAGAGAUGGAAAAGUACAUGAUUUUAUAGGCUAGGGUUUAAUAUUUUUAUUUUUCUAUAAUCAUCAAGAAAAAAAAGGUCAUUGGAUCAUCGUGGUUUAACUUGUUUUCUUUGAUACAUUCCAUAUUUUUAUGAAAAUAUCCAAAAAAUCAUAUAAAGUUAUGGAGAUGGGGGUGAAGUCUAAACUUCACUUUAUAUCAAGGAAACUCUUAAGUUUAGGAUAAAAUCGACAUAUAUCGUCGAUAUUUUGUAUACACCUGUUAAAUAUCGAAAAAAAAUCUCAUAUUUUGUCCAAAUCAAUGUUUAAGAAUUCCCAAUGUUUCAUUUUAAAUUUUCAUUACUUCCAUAGAAAGCAACCGAUAUUCAAUAUGUCCGUCGAUAUUUCCACAAAUUUUCUUAUUGAUAUUUUCAUGGUUACUGAUAUUGUAAACAUUGGUUUUAACAGAUACAACAAAAAUACCUUUGGUUGAAGCUUCCUCCAACUUGCGUCUCAAUUGUUCAGGAAUGAAACUAUAACAAACACCUCCAACACUUUGUGGUAAUAGUCAAAGGCGUAUAAUUUGGUUCAAGACUAUAAGCCUUAAUCAAUGAGUAGCAAAAAUAUGGUUUCACACUAAUCCCAUGACGAGAAUAUUUGCGGUGAUAGUGAAAGGCUAGUAAUUUGGUUCAAGACUUCAAGCCUUAAAAGUGGAUCCAUGCAUAUGACUAGAAGGGAGAUGGAAGAGGCGGGGAAAAGAGGUAAUUGGGAGCCGCCGACUCCGGUUAGACCUCAGACUACUGUUUUAAUUUUUUUUUUUACAACUUUAUUCUUUAAAAGGGUAAAAUGAAAACUUUGAAUUUUGCUAAGUAAUAACAGAUAAUUAAUUAAGUGCAAAUAGUAAAAAAAAUUUAGUAUUAAGAAGAGGAGGGUUUGGAACUAUUUCAAUAAUUUAGAAAUUGAGAGUUUUAAACUCAGAAUGCAUGGGUAGAGAUCAAAUACCAUAUCCAAUAGGAUAUUUGAGCACAAGCAAGUGCAGAUAGUAAAUCCCAAGUCUUAUAGUGGUAAUAAUACCCUCUUUAGUAUUUGUUUUUCACUCUUUAGUUGACAAAAAAGAAUUUUUAUAGUAUCAAUAUAGAUAAACAUUUUUCUUCUAAUACAAUGCAUGAUUCAUUAAAAUUCACUGAGAAUAAAGGAAAGGAAAUAACCAUCUCAACCCACCCCCUCAGUUAUAUACUAAAUAGAAGGGGAUCUUUGGUGUUUCAUUCACCACCACGGCAAGUGAAACACGACUCCACCUACAGAAAUAAAAUAAAAAAUUGCGAGUGUGAUGAAAAGUGACAACUUUUUUUCUUACCAAUUGAAACUUCAAAUUUUCUUUUUUUCAAGAUUUGAAACAUUUUAUUUUCUUUAUUUUUUUAUAGUUGAAAUUGACCCAUAUUUGGUCCUACAUCAGUCUCCUCCACUAGAAAAAUCUCACCCUUCAUCUUGAAAACAACUAGGGUUGAUAUGAAUCUUGAUGAGUCAAUAAUUUCUUCAAUUAGAGGAACCCAUUAUUCUUGGUAUUUAGUUGGAAUCACAAUGGCACCUUACUAUGAUAUACAUGUUUAUUGAGCUUCUAGUUGAUACGAAUGAUAUAUAUGAUUACUAGUAUGAAAAAUAUGAGCCUCGAACCUUAUUAGAAGUAUUCUAUAGAACUUGUAUGUUUGUAUGUCAAUAUAUUUAGUUGUCAUGUGAAAUUGAUAGUGUGUGCGCUCACAUUGUAAAUCAUAUGUGCUGAUGUAGACAAUAAGAUGUGUGGUGAUCGGUUGCACUCAGUGGUACAAAGAUGAUCCUGGUUGGUAUAUAUGCGAUAGGGGAUCAUACAUUUUCAAGGGUGAUCAUGAUUGAUACAUCCGAGAUGGGUGAUCACUGCUGCACGAUUAGACUACACAUAUGGUUUUGCUUGGUAAAUCUGCAAUGGGGGACCACAUACGCAUUCCAGGAGUGAUCAUGUGUUGGUAUAUCUACGAUGGGUGAUCACUACCUAAAGUUAGGAUGCGAUUCUGCUUGGCAUAUUCGUGAAGGGGCCCGUAAAUAUGAUAGUGAUCAUGCUUGGUAUAUCCGUGAUGGGUGAUCGCUGCCUGCACAAUUAGACUAUGCCUAUGGUUCUGCUUGGUGUAUCCGUAAUAAAGGAUCAUACGCAUUCUAGGAGUGAUCAUGUUUGGUAUAUCCGCGAUGGGUGAUCACUACCUAGAGUUAGGAUACGGUUCUGUUAGGUAUAUCCGCAAUGGGGGACCGUACAUAUAAUAGGGGUGAUCAUACUUGGUAUAUCUGUGAUGGGUGAUUUUUGCUUGCACUAUUAGACUAUGCCUAUGGUUUUGCUUCGUAUAUCUGCAAUGGGGGACCAUACGCAUUAUAGGAGUAACCAUGCUUGGUAUAUCCGCGAUUGGUGAUUACUACCUAGAGUUAGAAUUCGGUUCUGCUUGUUAUAUCCCCGAUUGAGGACCGUACAUAUGAUGGGGGUGAUCAUGCUUAGUGUAAUUGCAAUGGGUGAUCACUGCCUACCUAGGGUUGUGAGGAUUAGUUGUGCUGAUGCACAAAACCGGAGGUCUUGGAACAACGUAAAUCCGACCGUGAAUCUGCAAGAAAGUAAAUAACACAAGAUGUAUCGUGGUUCACCCCAAGAUUUGGGCUACGUCCACACUGAUAUUGUAUUCAUCUGAGAGGUGGGGGAGAGAAUGUGAGAGCCUCUGUAAUGAGAGUGAGGCUUUGAGAGGGGUAUGUUGGCCUCUUCUAAUUGUGAAGGUGAGGGAUCCUUUUAUAGAAUAAGGGCUCCUCAUUUAUUACAUAUUUGCCCCUCCAUUUAUUACAUAAUUACAUUGGAGUCCCCCGAGUAUUUAUACGAGGUCUAAAUACGGAGGCCCUAAGUAUGGUAUAAACAAGUUGUACUUGCUUAAUUUCGAUAGAUGACCAUAUUUUAGUUAGAUUCCGUUGAGUGGUCUGGAAUCCCAGUUCUUGUUUGUUUCCAUUAAGUUAGUCUGAAAACCUAGAUUCGAGUGCAUAAGAAUUGCUCACAGUGGAUAUUGUGGAUGCAAAUUUCCGCCUUCUUCUUCUUGGACAAAAUUGCACCUACAAAACAAUUAACACCUUAGGUCAAGGCCAAGAGGCUCACGCGCCCACGAUGAAUUAGGGGAGGGGGUUUUGGCCGAAGAACCUCCGAUGCCAAAGUUAGAAUUUAGAGAGAAAAGUAUUUGGAGAGUUUUUGGGAGUUUUGCAAGAGUAUGAAACUUAGCUUUUUAGAAGAAAUAGGGUCAUAUAUAUAGGGAAUGAGGUGUGGCCGGCCUUUAAGUGUGUUUUGGGGUGUUAUUUGGUGAUUCAAUUAGCAAUUAAUAUAUUAAUUAGGUAUAAAUAUAUUAAUUGGCUAAUUAUCAUAAUAAAACAAAUGUUUUGGGAGGUUUUGAAGGUUAUGGAAUGAGGAUGGAUGAGACAAAUUUGAAUUUGUUACCUAUUUUGGGUACUCCUAAUUUGGUUGAUGGAUGAUUCUCCACUGCUCGCGUGUAGGAGACCCGGUAUGCACCAAGGGUAAAUUUGUCAUCUUCACCCAAAAAUCCACGUGUCACCUUAUGAUUAUUUUUGGCUCCACAAAUAUUAUGUUUGUAAAUUAGAGUUAUCAUGUUAUUGCUUGGAAUUCAGGUAGGGAAUUAUGGUGAGUUCCUUUAUUAAAUUGGUGAAAUAAUAUGUGAUUUUUUUUUUUGAUUGAUUAACGUAGUUAAAUGUUAAUAUUGUGCAUCUUUGAUUUGUUAGAUCGCUUAAUUGUUGUGAUUGUGGAUUGUGUUGGAAAAUAUUGUGAUAUAGGUGAAUGACAAUCUUGUUCACAUAUGAUUUCAUUAUGUAGACGAAAAUCUAGCAAGGCAUACUCAAUUAUUGGUUCCCUUGUGUGAUUUUGGAACUCUAUGUUCUUGCCAGUUAAUGCCUUGAGACUUUUAGAGCUUAAAAGAAGGGUGAAUUACGAAUGGUUUGAUCCCGUUGUAGGGUAUAUAGGCAGUCUAACAUAGAUGUUCGAUGAUCAAGUACGUGGUGACAUCGCGUGUCAAUCUUGAACGUAGCUCGGGAUCAGAGGGUGACAUAUAGACUCUUGCAUUUGAUCCCCCAUAAACGCUCAUGCACAUCACCAUCUAAAAAGGAAACAACCAUCUUCACCAUAUUCCUUUCCGGAAUUGGCUGUGUCUUAAAAAGUUUCUCUCAGUUGUAAAAAAUAGGAUACGAAUCGUUGUAUUGUUUGCAAGAGCACGAAGCUCAAACUAGGAAAUAUCAGAAUAGAAUUAUUUUUACUUUCUAAUUUAUUUAUGUUCAAUGACCUCAAUUAUUUCCCUAAAUCAAGAGUGUUUUGAUGAUUUCCCACUAAAUUAACAUAAAGGGCCAAUUUCCGCAUACGGCCAUGUUACCCCAUACUUCAUCUAACUUUCUAUUGAAAAUGUCACAUUUCAAAAUUAAAAAAAAAAAAAAAAAGAAGACAAUAAUAAGAUUAAGAAAGGAAAUAUAACAAACACAAAAGGACAUUCAACGACCAACAUGUGACUUUUUGGGAUGGAAUUUGGGUAAAUUUGAAGCUAGGGAGAAAUUAUCUAUUCAUAGUAUUUUAGGGAAAAAAUUGGCCAAACCAAAACUUUAUGGGUAAUAUCGGCAAUGGGGUACAGGUUAAGGGGGGGAAUCGGCAAAUUACUCUUCUUAUAUGUAUAGAGAAACUGAACUCUAGUGAAGCUCUAGGUUAGUGUCAAUUGUGAUUAAUUGAAACAAUGGAAAGUAAAUAGAAGAAAACAUGGUGAUCAAAAUCUGCAAUGAGAGAAUAUCUCUUGAAAAUAUAUUUUUGAAGCACUACAUCCAACUAAAGGAAACGUAGAGAAGAUAAUAAAGCAACACUCUAAUUAAAUUUGGCUUGCCCGGUGUUCAGCAUAAUUAUAAGGUUAGUGUUCUGCAGUUCUACGUGGAUCUACUUAAAAAGCUUCCAGUAAAAUUGCUUUCUAGAGAAGCAUUUCCAAACGGACCAUAGAUGUACUAGUUUACAGGAUUUAAGCCAGUCAGUUAAGAGUUAGUUUUUACUCACCCCAUAACCCUUGUAUAGCUUACGCCCCUCUAGAUUGUGCCACAUGUUUAAAAGACAAAACACAAUUAGUCUAAUGCAUUUAAUUAUUUCUUACCAAUAAUUAAAGCAAUAAACUUACCAUUCAAAACCCCAUUGAGUGAGGUUUCAAAACAUAAUUCAUUAAAAUUACAUGCUGAAUGUUGUUGUUAAGGCCUUGCAAGGCAUGAUAGUGAUCGGAAUUGGGGCUCUUGACUUUAUAAUUGGUGAAGCUCUCUAUUCAUUCAGAAGCAGCAAUCUGUAAUGGAAAGAGAUCAAGAAUUUGCGUUGUUGAGCAAAUUUGACACCGUAUUCUAUAUACAAGCUCAGAGGUCGCACUUGGUGCGAUGGCAAGUGCCUUCGCCCAUGAGCGGUAGGUCUCGGGUUCGAGACUUGGAAGCAGCCUCUUCAUAAAUGGGGGUAAGGCUAGCCGACAUUCACCUCUCCCAGAUCUUGCGUAAAGCGGGAGCCUUGUGCACUGGGUACGACCUUUAUUCUAUAUACAAGCUCAAAGUAGCCACUCAUCGGCAUCCUAAUUUUGGGACGACAUAAAAAAUUCAUAUGAUCACCUAUCAAAUUUGCCCCACCUAGUCAGAAAUCAUAUUGCUAUUUAGCCUAAUGAAAAAGUUAGUUCACAUCGAAGACAACAAUCAAUACUUUUAUUUAUGAGACAAUGAUGCCCUAUUAAAUGGCGGCUCAGUUUACUCUCAAGGAUUGCUGAUUAAGUAAGCUCGAGAUGAACGGGUCUAAACUAGACAAGAAGAGUAAACUAUUCAAACUAUGCACAACAAGGAUAUGGUUAGUGCUUACAUGGAACUUUCUCUUCAGGUUGCUUUCGGUUGCACAACUCCGACAGCAGAUUAUAUACUUCAUGGCUUAGUGUUUGGAUCUUCCCCCGGGCUUGGCAAUGACCGAAGUGGAUGGUCGGAAGGGCAAAUCUUGUGAAGUUGCCAUUGCUCCACUGGCCCUGCCUUGACCUCUUCCUCUUGUCACAGUUUGCGAAGACGAAGGCAAUGCAGCAGAUCGCUGAGUGAACUCCAUUCGCCUUGAUCAUGGCAUGGCCUGACUACCUCUUCCUCUUCCUCCCCACACCUCAACCCUAACAACAAUAUCAAACUAAGCCUUAAGUUAACAAAGUAAAUUAUGCAUGUACGAUUUUCUCAGUUACUGCUCGAGAAGAGGAUGCAAAUUGAGUUUCAUCGCCUUUGCCUGUGACCCUCCCAUUUCCUCUGCCCAUUGGUCUAACUCUUCCUCUACCUCUUCCCCACUGAAUGAACAAGAAACGCUCGCUCGCUCUAAAUUUGGGUUGUGAUCAUGAAAUAAAUGAAACAAUAUGAAAGUGUACUGUACCACUAAAGAAAUGACACCCAAAACGUCCUCCUUAUCAACCUCCUCGCCACCAACAAUAUGCCUGACGGCAAUGCGGGCGGAGGAACUCGAAUUAUUCGAAUUCGAGAGGUGGCUGGCCACAAAGCGACUAUCAAUCAGAUCACGCCAGGACUCGUGGACGCAUUUGAACCGCAUCAGGGGAUUUAGGUGGCAAACUUGACAGGAUUUGGGCCACCAUAUUAUCCGACAAUUUGCAGGAAUUUGCCAUUAAUUAACUAAUUUAUGAAUAAUUUACUUGUCCUCCUCCUCUUCCUCCAUCUCUACUUUCCUUUAAUCUUGAGCAAAACAAACUGGAACGAUGAUCACUGAAACUGUUACCUUGAUUUUCCGAUAGCGUCGACAGCGUCGAGACCAGGAGGGCCCACUCAAAUUCCUCUCCGCGACACGAGCGACUGGGAAUCCUUCGUUUCCGAGCACUCCUCGGCUUCUUCCCUUCGUCCUUUCCGCUUGGCUCUGACGACUGUAGUCACUGCGCUUUAGUCCACGCCAGUCAACGCAUACUGACACUGACAAUGCUCUGUACUCUGUAGGGUUUCCCUUCGUUUCCAAACACUGGCCUUUUGCUGUUUGCCGCCGUAAGGCUCGCGCUUUCUGUUUUGUGUAAACGGGUUUGGGCCCAUUUUGGGUCGAGCAUUUGGGCUUUUACAAACUAAAAACAUUUGGAAGGUGUUUUUUCUUUUUUGGUCCGUCUCAAUAGUAUUCUGCUUAAGUGCUUUCCGAAUGGUUAAAAGCCCUUCAAAAAAUUAAAAGUGCUUCUUACAAUAUUUAGCGAAGAAAUAUUGUGUGUGCAGAUUACGAAUAUUAAUUUUUUCCUCCAAAGUAGGAGAUUUGAGUGUUUUCUUAAAGAAGCACAGGUUGAGUGCUUCUCGAAACAAGCAUUUGGAUUUUAAUUGACACACUUGUACCAAAAGCACUUCUAUUGAUUAAGAGAAGAUGUAAUUUCAAGUGAAGCGUCUAAGGGGCCUUCAAGUUGAGAACUUCUAUAACACGAGUACAUUGCUAUUGUAGCGUGCCUGCAUUUGAAGUUCUUCUGCAAACUAUAUCAGCCUGCAUAAGUACUCCAAAGUUAAACGUGUGCAUUUGAAGUUCUGCAAACUAUAUUAGCAUGCAGAAGUACUCCAGAGUUAAACGUGUGCAUUUGAAGUUUUUCUGCCAACUAUAUGAGCCUACAUAAGUACUCCAAAGUUAAACGUGUGCAUUUGAAGUUCUGCAAACUAUAUCAACAUGCAGAAGUACUCCAAAGUUAAACGCGUGCAUUUGAAGUUCUUCUGCCAACUAUAUCAGCCUGUAUAAGUACUCCAAAGUUAAAACGCAUGCAUUUGAAGUUCUUCUGCAAGUGUUAUCAGCAUGUGGAAGUAAGUCUUUUUAACUUUGGUUUCAUGAUUAUAUCCAUACAUUUUGAACAUAAAGAACAUCAUAUCAUGUAACAUAAAAAAAAUAUCAUAUAUCCAUUCAGAAGCCCGCUGAGUAGGUCGUCAAAACAUAAUUCCGCAAAGAGAAAUAAAUAAAGCAAUUAAAAGAGCUGCAAUCAUCAAGCAAAUUUGACACUUGAUGCCUCCAAAACAUCUACUCCUUUGUCAUAAAUCUGCAACCAUAUCCUACAUCAUAUCCUACAUACAAGUUCGGUAUCCUACUUCCGAGACAAACAUCAAAAAUUCAAUCCGCUAUCAAAUUUUCCUUCACCUAGUCAGCAAUCGUCUUCUGUUUAAAAGUAAUGAACG